rnacentral:lncRNA from 1 species
CGGCAUUCCAUCCUCAAACUGAUGGACAAACAGAGCGUGUUAAUCAAGUUUUGGAGCAAUAUUUAAGAUGUACCAUUAAUACCAACAAGAUGAUUGGACAACUCUUUUGCCAUUGACAGAGUUUGCUUACAAUAACACGGUACAUUCUUCUACAAAAUAAACUUCUUUCUUUGCUAAUUAUGGUUAUCAUCCACGACUUGAUACUUUUGACUUUUCAAAAGUUGAUAAUCCUGCUGCGAAAGAUUUGGCAAUUCAUUUAUCAGAGCUACAUGCAACGAUGAAGGCGUAGUUAAAAGAGGCUCAAGAACAACAAAAGGUCAAUGCGGAUGUCUAUCGAAAGGAACAACCAUCAUUCAUCUUGGGUGAUAAGGUAUGGCUACUUCGUCACAAUAUCAAGACCACUCGUCCUUGUGACAAGUUGGACUAUCGAAGGCUGGGACCAUUUUCUAUUUCUGUACAAAUCAAUCUAGUUGCAUAUCGUUUACAUCUAUUGGAGUCAAUGAAAAUCCAUCCAGUAUUCUAUGUGUCUCUUCUUGAACUAUACAAGACAGUGGACAUACCAAGAAGAUGAUAAGCUCCACCUCCUCCUAUAGAAGUGGACAAUAAUGAAGAGUUUGAAGUAGAAGAAGUCCUAGAUUCGAGGCGACGCCAAAAUAAAUUAGAAUAUCUUGUCUAUUGAAGCGGAUACGGUAUUAGUAAACACACAUGGGAGCCAAUAAAGAAUCUUAUAAAUGCAGCAAAGGCGGUGGAGGCUUUUCAUCGAUGACAUCGAUCAAAAUCAAGAUGAAAACCUUCUUUAUAAAAGAAACAACAUCUAGGCAAGAUAACAAUCUACUUUGAAUUCUUGUUCAUAGCUUCAUUGUAGUAGUGACGCUCAGGAGUUGUAGAACCAACAACCAGCAGAUUCAACUCAAGAGCCUUCAUUUGCUGACCUGCCAGACGAGACAUUCUGAUUGUCACAACCUUCAAGACGACGUAAUGGAGAUGAAGAUCUUCAAGAACGACAUGUUCUUCCUCGAGUAGAUGGCGAGAUACAACGCGUUUGGUAUCACGAUUUGGGAAGGGACUCCCGAUGUUUGGUGAUUUUGCUAGAGGUAGGAACAACUCUUGAUGGUGUUCCAAAUAUUCUAUUCAAAGGAAGUUACGAAGGCCUCAACAAUGAUCAAAUAACUGGGUGGUCUUCCCGCCCUGGUAUGGGAUACUACCGAUGGUUGAGAGGUCCUAUCAAUCAUCUUCGAAGAGAACAAAGAUUAGAGUAUGUGGCGAAUACAAUUCGUCGCAUCAUAGAUUUUCUCAACAUAUGAUGACCGCUCCUCGUGGAACUCGUCUCUAGAAGGGGGGGUAAUAUCACGGCCAUAAUCAUGUAAGCUAAUAAUUACAUAUACAAAUAAGUAGAAGUAAAUAAUAGUAGGUAAAAGUAAGUUAAUUUUAUAAUAUUUAAUAUAGAAGCUUCUUAGAAGCUCGUAGAUGUUGCUUUGACUUCAUAGGUGUCUUUAAUUGACUUUUUGGAUUAGAGACGUGGUCAAUAAGUCGGCCAUGUGCCACAUAUGUUGUUAGCUUGAAGAUCAAGCUAACUAUGUGGCCCACAUGGAGAAAAACUUGCCUUCUAAGUCAAGGCAUGUGUCCUACAAAGGAGAUGACAAGAAUGAAGAAGCCUUCACUCUUGUCUCUAUAUAUACUAUCUAACUAGGGACUACAUGGCGACGUUCUAUUGGACUUCCCAUAUGUGUUGACUUUGUAGGACACAUGCCUUGACUUACAAGGCAAGUUUUUCUAUGUGUGGGCCACAUAGUUAGCUUGAUCUUCAAGCUAACAACAUGUGUGGCACAUGGCCAACUUGUUGACCACGUUUCUAAUCCAAAAAGUCAAUUUAAGAUAGCUAUGAAGUCAAAGGAGCGUCUAGGAAGUUUCUAGGAAGCUUUUAUAUUAAAUAUUAUAGAAUUAACUUACUUUUAUCUACUUUUACUUACUUCUACUUAUUUCUAUAUGUAAUUAUUAGCUUACAUGAUUAUGGCCGUGACAUUACCCCCCCUUCUAGAGACGAGUUCCACGAGGAGCGGUCAUCAUAUGUUGAGGAAAUCUAUGAUGCGACGAAUUAUAUUCGCCACAUAUUCUGAUCUCUGUUGUCUUCGAAGAUGAUUGAUAGGGCCUCUCAACCAUCGGUAGUGUCCCAUACCAGGGCGAGAAGACCACCCAGUUAUUUGAUCAUUGUUGAGACCUUCGUAACUUCCUUCGAAUAGAAUAUUUGGAACACCAUCAGGAGUUGUUCCUACCUCUAGCAAAAUCACCAAACAUCGAGAAUCCCUUCCCAAAUCGUGAUACCAAACGCGUUGUAUCUCACCAUCUGUUCGAGGAAGAACAUGUCGUUCUUGAAGAUCUUCAUCUCGAUUGCGACGUUUUGAAGGUUGUGACAAUCGUAAUGUCUCGUCCGGCAGGUCAGCAAACGAAGGUUCUUGAGUUGAAUCCGCUGGUUGUUGACUCUCCAUCUAAUUAGCGUCAGAAUUGCAAAGAAGUUACAAACAAGGAUAUGAAAUUGAAUGUUAUCUUGGCCCAAUCUUGUCUCUUUUAUAAGAGAGAUUUUCAUCUUGGUUUUGUUGGAUGUCGUUGAUGAAAAACUUUGACUUUAGCUGAUGCAUUUCCUAGAUUCUUGGAUGGCUCCCAUGUGCGUUUACUAAUAUCAUAUCCGCGCCAAUGAACAAGAUAUUCCAGCUUAUUUCGGCGCCACCUUGAGUCUAAUAUCUCUUCCACCUCAAAUUCUUCAUUAUUAUCUACUUCUAUAGGAGGCGGUGGCAUUUGUCUUCUUCCUUGUAUAUCCACUGUCUUAUAUGGUUCAAGAAGAGACAUGUGGAAUAUAGGAUGGAUCCUCAUUGACUCCGGUAGAUGUAACGGAUAUGCAACUGGGUUGAUCUGUUCAGAAACAGAAAAGGGGCCAAGCCUACGAUAGUCCAACUUGUCAGAAGGUCGAGUAGUCUUGAUAUUGCGACGAAGUAGCCAUACCUUAUCACCCACGUUGAUUUGUGGUUGCUCCUUACGAUAUAGAUCUGCGUUAAUCUUUUGUCUUUCUUGAGCUUCCUUCAAUUGCGUCUUCAUUAUUGCAUGUAACUCUGACAACCGAUUUGCCAUAUCUUCUGCUGCAGGAUUAUCAACUUUUGAAAAAUCAAAAGUAUCAAGUCGUGGAUGAGAGCCAUAAUUGGUAAAGAAAGGUAUUUGUUGUGUGGAAGAAUGUACUGUAUUAUUAUAAGCAAACUCUGCCAAUGGCAGAAGGGUUUUCCAAUCAUCUUGUUGGUAGUUGAUAGUACACCUUAAAUAUUGCUCCAAGACUUGGUUUACGCGCUCUGUUUGUCCAUCAGUUUGAGGAUGGAAAGCCAAAGAUAGCUUUAUGUCCACUUUUAAAAUCUUGAAAAGGGUCCUCCAAAAUCUUGACACAAAUUGAGUUCCCCUAUCCGAUAUGAUAUCUUUAGGUAAUCCAUGAUAGCGAUAGAUAUUAUCAAUGAAAAGCUUAGCUGUUUCUUCACCUGUGAUAGAUUUUGUACAUGGCACAAAAUAUGCCAUCUUGGUGAAACGAUCUACUAUCACAAAUAUAGAAUCAUAAGAUCUUGAGCUUGGAAGAUCUGUGAUGAAAUCCAUAGAAACAGAAGUCCAUGGUUGUUCUGGUAUAGGUAAUGGCUGAAGAAGUCCGUAAGGUCGAUGACGAGGAAUUUUUGAUCUUGAACAAAUAUCACAUGAUUGUACAAAGUCUUUGACUGACUUCCACAUUUGUGGCCACCAAAAAUCUCUUGAUAUGAGUUCCAAAGUCUUAUUAUAUCCAAAGUGCCCUGCUGCUGGAAAGUCAUGACGUGCUUGAAGAACACGUAAACGUGCUUCUCCUUCUGGAACAUAUAGGCGUCCUUCUAAAUAUAAUAGAUUAUUCUUGAACUCGAACUUAGAAGGAUCAUGAGACUUGGAAGAAUUAUUCUCGAUAUCAUAAACAAGAGGGUCUGAGGACAUACUGGACUGGAUUUGCUUGAGAAAAGUUGAAUCAACAAUCAAUGUUGAUUUCAUUGCUCGGAGAUGAAAUUGCUCCGGUCUCAAGAGGACCGUUCUUUGUUGCUCAAAAGCUGCAUCUCCUUCUUUUGGUGCAAAAUAAGAACGUCUAGAUAGGGCAUCAGACAAACCUUGUUGUUUUCCUGGCCGAUAAGUGAUAAUGAACUCGAAUCUUGACAAAGACAUACUCCAACGAGCUUAACGACGAUUCAACACGCGUGCUGACAUGAAAUACCUGAGGUUCUUGUGAUCUGUAUACACAGUGACUGGACUAGAAGCGCCUUCUAGAUAAUGACACCAUUCUUGAAAGGAAUCCACGAUCGCAAAAAGUUCUUUAUCGUGGAUCUCAUAAUUGAUCUCGGCUGCUGAGAAUUUUCUUGAAUGAAAAGCUAUCGGAUGAAGUUUGUCAUCUGUUCCCAUUUGUGAUAAAACUGCACCCAAUGCAAAAUCUGAUGCAUCUGUUUCCGUAAAAAAUGCCUUGAAAAAAUCAACACGAUAUAAGACUGGUGCAGAGACAAACGAUGUCUUCAAGGCUUCAAAUGCUGCUUCCGCUUCUUGAUUCCAUUGGAAUUUAUCUUUACUAGUCAAGCGUGUAAGUGGAGCUGCAACUCGUGAGAAAUCUUUGAUGAAGAUCCGAUAGUAAUUGGCAAAUCCCAAGAAACAUUGGACAUCUCUUACUGUCUUUGGAAUCUUCCAAUCCAUGAUUGUUUGGACUUUCUUAGAAUCCAUCAUGAGACCAUCAUUUGAAAUAAUGUAUCCUAAAAUGUCAACUUGAGUAGUGUGAAAUACACACUUUUCCAUCUUGGCGUACAAUCCUGCAUCUCUAAGUUUUUGUAAUACUUGACGAACAUGUAUUUCAUGUUCUUCGACGUUCUUAGAAUAGAUGAGGAUAUCGUCUAGAUAGCAUACGACAAAAUUAUCUAAGAAUUCACGAAAUACAUCAUUCAUGAGAUGUUGAAAAGCAGCUGGUGCAUUUGUGAGUCCAAAGGGCAUGACAUUAUAUUCGAAAUUUCCAUACCUGGUUCGAAACGUAGUCUUCCAUUCAUCUCCUUCUUUGAUCCAUACUAGAUUAUAUGUUCCUCUUAAAUUUAUUUUUGUAUAGAUCUUAGCUUGAUUCAACUGGUCAAGGAGUCUUGAUAUCAAAGGUAAUGGAUACCUGUUCUUGAUUGUGAUCUCGUUGAGUCCUCGAUAAUCAACACACAUUCGUAAAGAUCCAUCUUUUUUCUUUACGAAUAGAAUUGGAGCUCCUGCUGGAGAUUUUGAAUGGCGUAUGAAAUUCUUCGCUAAAUUCUCGUCAAUAUAUGUCUUGAGUUCAGCCAUCUCAUCUUGCGAUAAACUGUAAAUUGGUCCAAAUGGUGGCUGAGUUCCUUCCUUGAGGUCAAUUGAACAAUCAUAUGGGCGAUGCUCAGGAAGAAUAUCUGCAUUCUUUUUCUCAAAAACGUCUUGAUACUCCUGAUAUUGACUUGGAAUGCUAAUUGAAGUCUUUACGUUUUCAGAAAUAGGUGCAGCAUAAAUAGCAAAAGUUGAUCUUUCUUUUGCUGCGUGUAUAAAUGCUUUUGCACCUAUCAGUACGGGUUUUACUAUACUAGACUUAUAAUUUUUUACUUGCUUGGUAGAACUAUUAAUAAUGCUCUGGAAAAAGUCAAGUUUACGCAAAUUCCAAUCUAUUCGAGGGUUAUAUUUUUCUAGCCAGGAUAAACCUAAAAUAACUGGAUUGGACGGGGAUUUAAUUAUGUUAAAAGCUAUGUAGCUAUCAAUACCGUUUAUUGUUACUUUUAUAGGAUGAGUUUCAUGAGUGACAUCUCCAGAAGACAAGGGACGACCAUCUAUGACUUCUACAUGUACUGGUUUAGGUUUCUGUACAAAAGGUAUUUUACGACUUUUAACAAAUUGUUCAUCUAAAAAACAUGCUGAGGCUCCCGAAUCUAAUAAAGCAGAGGCUUUGUAAUUCUUAGGUCCUAAAUAUAAGUCUAUUAUAAAACAAGGAGAGGGUUCUGAGGAGAGGAUAGGACCUUCAUUAGGAAUUGUACAAGGUUCCAACUGCACGGUCCCUAUUGUAGCUGGACGAAUCCGUUUUCUGACAUGUUGUCUUCUUUGACCGUCGUACCCCUCAUUUUAUAGUUGCGUCGUUUCUUUGGACAAUGUUGAGCAGUGUGCUUAGGUUCUCCGCAAUAUAAACAUAAUCCUUCUUGAUGACGACGAAUCUUUUCUUGCUCAGUUAGGGGUUUAAAAUGUACCGCGUCAAUUUGCAUGUCUUCUAUUUCCAAAUGUACGUUUGGCAAAGAUGUUGAUGUUGCGAUUGAGUAAUAACGUUGAGGUUUCCGUGAAUGAUUCUCGAAUCGAAAUUCGAAAAGUCGAUUAUCACAUUUUACCGCAAAAUCGAUUGCUUGACUCAAAGUUUGAGGAUCAGGUAAGUUGAGCAUCAAUUUCUUUACUUUGUAUUGCAAUCUAUAAAAAAAUUGACUGAUGAGUGCAGCAUCAUCCCACUUGAUGUCAAUUGCAAGUUGUCGAAAUUGUGAAGCACAUACUGUUACUGAGCGAUUUCCUUGUCGCAAAAUUCGGAUCUUAUUUGUUGCAACACGAGUUGCAUCGUGUUCACCAUACAUAGAUCGAAACUUCGCCAAAAAAGCUUCCAAAUUGUCCAAUAUUGGAUUUCGUUGUUCAAGGAAAGACGAAAACCACGAUAAUGCAGAACUAGAAAGUAGAGUGCCAAUAAACCUGACUUGUGAUCCUGGAGUUGGAUAGCUUUGCGGUUGAAGUUCAAUUGCCAAUUGUACUUGAUUGAUGAACCCUCGAAACUUUGAUCUCGUACCAUCAAAUUUCUCAGGUUAGGCAAUUCUUGGUUCUCUAGUGCUUAUAGGGUGUUGUAUAAUUGGAGAAGGAACGUGAUUUGUUGUAGAUGUUGAAGCAGCUCCGAUCAUCUCUAUAUCUCCACUUUCUGCUAUUCUUGUUCUUUCCUGUGUUGGUGAAUUGAGUUGAUGCAUCGCAAGCAUUAACUCCCUCAUUUGCUCUUGUAUUUGUGCCAUUGCACUCUUCAUUUCAACAAGCUCUGUCAUAAUGACACUAAGAAGAAAAAUUUGUUUGAUAUUGCUCAAGACAAAAGAAAAGAAAGACUUGAUAACAAAGAAGAUACUAAGAACAAUAUCAGUUUAGAAGUGGGUAAUUCGCAAACUUCUAAUAUGCUUAUGUCUUGUCAAGAGAAAGGGGUAAUCCAUUCUUACUCAAGAAAAAACAAAGCUCUGAUAUUAUAAGUGUACUCUUGUCAAUCUGUCAAGGACAAAGACUCGAUGAGGGAAAAUAUACACCAAAAGACUAUCUCGAUAUAAUAAGUCAAAAUAUAAACAAGUAGGUAUAUUAAAAGGAAACUGGAAUGGCUAUUGCCACAAGACAAGAAACUAAAGACUCUUGAACUUGGACUAGAAGCAAGAAAGGAGUUGACAAGAAUGAAGAAGCCUUCACUCUUGUCUCUAUAUAUACUAUCUAACUAGGGGCUAUGUGGCGACGUUCUAUAGGACUUCCAAUAUGUGUUGACUUUAUAGGACACAUGCCUUGACUUACAAGGCAAGUUUUUCUACGUGUGGGCCACAUAGUUAGCUUGAUCUUCAAGCUAACAACAUGUGUGGCACAUGGCCAACUUGUUGACCACGUUUCUAAUCCAAAAAGUCAAUUAAAGACACCUAUGAAGUCAAAGCAACGUCUAGGAAGUUUCUAGGAAGCUUCUAUAUUAAAUAUUAUAGAAUUAACUUACUUUUAUCUACUUUUACUUACUUCUACCUAUUUCUAUAUGUAAUUAUUAGCUUACAUGAUUAUGGCCGUGACAUGUUGCUUUGACUUCAUAGGUGUCUUUAAUUGACUUUUUGGAUUAGAAACGUAGUCAAUAAGUUGGCCAUGUGCCACAUAUGUUGUUAGCUUGAAGAUCAAGCUAACUAUGUGGCCCACAUAGAGAAAAACUUGCCUUCUAAGUCAAGGCAUGUGUCCUACAAAGUCAACACAUAUUGGAAGUCCUAUAGAACGUUGCCACAUAUCUCCUAGUUAGAUACUAUAUAUAGAGACAAGAGUGAAGGCUUCUUCACUCUUGUCAACUCCUUUCUUGCUUCUAGUCUAGUUUUAAGGGUCUCUAGUUUUCUUGUCUUUUAGCAACAUCCAUUCUAGUUUCUCUUUCAAUAUAUAUACUUGUUUAUAUAUAUUUUGUUACUUCUCUUUGAGUGAAGGCUCACUUGGCUGAAUUGUUUUUUCAUCAAGUUCUUCUCCUUGACAACACCACAUAAUUAGCUUGUUAUAUAACAUACCAACACAUAACAUGCAUGGUUAACUUAUUGACCAAGUUUAAAACCUACCAAUCAACUAUAAAUACAUAUAAAUUUAAAAUUUUGUCUUUGAAGCUUGUAGAAAGCUUUGCUAGAAGAUAUUAUAAAAUUAAUCUACUUUUAUCUACUUCUAUUUAAUCAUAAAGAUAAUUAUUAGAAUAAAUAUAUAUAUUUUUUUGAUAUUAUUUCUUAUUUUAAAAUGAAUUUUGGAGCAGUCAUCAUCUUUCAUGGAUCUUGUGAUUCUUCAUCUUUAUUUUCAUGGAUGUCAUUAACAAAAAGCAUCAACCUUUUUUGGUGCAUUUAUAAUAUUCUUUGCAAGCUUCCAUAUGUAUUAUUAAUAUCAUAUCUAUUGUCAUAUUAUGUGUUGACUUGUUUAGAAAUGCAAUGAGUACUUGGUUGUGGAAGAUAAAGUUGUGUUUUACAAGUGUCUAAGAAAUCUUAUUAAGUUUCAUCUAUAUAAGAAGAAUGUAAUUCAAAUUUCAAUUAAGAUUUUCUAAAAGCUAAUACAAAGUGUUCAAAAAUAUUCUUCUUAGUAAUUUCAACUAUAUAAAAAUUUCAAUUAUCUUAUUACUUUUAUAAUAAGGCAAUUUUGACUUUUCUUUGUAAAUCCUAAUUCUAAUCAAUGAGCUUUAGCAAGCUAUAAAUCUUAAUCUAAUUGUCUAAUUGGUACAUAAUUUUUUACACAAAUGCCAUUAUAAGUCUUCUAUGUAUUCAAAAAAAUUCAAUCUAAUCUAACUUACAAACUGUGAGAAAACAUCCAAAAAGACUGUGCUAAGAUCACUUGGUUACCAACUCAAAAAUUGAUGCAAAUAUUCUCAUAGUGAUUUCUCGUUCUCCAACUAUUAACUUUAAUUCAAAUUAAUGUAUAACUUGAUCUUCAAGUCUUCUAUUACUAUGCCAAAUUUUAUUUUGUUUUGAUUAGUAGAUCAUUAGAUAUCAUAGAAAUCCUAUCCAACUUCAAACUGCCAACUUCCACUACCCUCUUGUAUCAAAAAACAAAUAUCUUUCAACUCCACCAUUAAAAUAAUACAAAAUUUUAUACACACUUAAUAAACCUAAUCAAUGAAGCAAUGUCAACUUUUAAACUAUAGAUGUGAUAUCAAUUAUAUAAACUAGCAAAGAGUACUAGCUCCAAUUAUAUUGCAUAAAUUCAAAGUCACUAAUAUAAACCUUGACUUUGAAUAACAAUUGCAAAGUCAUCUCAAAUCCUAUAAAAUCAAUCUUUAUGCCUCUAAAAUAAAUUUGAAGUUAAUUUUUUAAUUCUAUACCUUAAUUUUCAAAUAUCCUCCAUAUUUAGUUCUAAGCAGUCAUUUUAGUAUCUGGAGGUCUGAUUUUGACCGUGUUCAUCAAAUAGUCAAUCCUUGGAUAUCAAUCCAACUUAUCUUAGGGAUGUUUUAGACCAAUUCUACCUUUAACUUUAUCUUAAUAUCAAUCAUACUAAUUAUUUAUUUCUUCCAUCCUAUUUUUACUAAUUUAUAGCUUUUUAAGAUAAUAAAAUAGUUUCUACAAUUUAGAAGUUAAAUUAUUAACCAACAUUUAAUCUAUUAUCUAUUAAGACAAAAAAAUAAACUAAGAGUCUUUUAUAAAAUCCAUGUUUAAAUAUCUUGAAUUAUUAUUAAAUCAAGAUAAUUAGAUAUUAAUUAAAAAAAUAUUUUUGAUUAUAUUUUUAUUAUAUAGUCAUAUUAUAACAUAACAUUAUAUCAAUGAAUAAGAUAUUCUAAUUUAUUUUGGUAUUGUAUUAAAUCUAAGACUUCCAUCUCAAACUCUUGAUUAUUAUUUGUUUCUAUAGGAGGAGGUGGCAUUUGUCUUUUUCUAGAGAUAUUUACUAUCUAAUAUAGCUCAAAAAAAGACACAUGGAAUAUAGGAUGGAUCUUUAUAGACUUUUAUAAAUGUAAUCAAUAAGGAAUAGAACUAACUUCUUUGCAAAUAGGAAAAAAUUUAAGCCCACAAUAAUCCAACUUGUUAUAAAGAUGAAUAGUCUUGAUAUUGCAACAAAAUAAUUAUAUCUUGACAUUCAUAUUGAAUUAUGAUUUUUCCUUGUAAUAGGCAUCUACAUUGAUCUUUUGUCAUUUUUGAGUUUCUUUUAAUUGCACCUUUAUUGUUGCAUAUAGAUUUCACAAAUAAUUUUUUAAAUCUUCUUCUUUUAAAUUAUUAACUUUUAAAAAGUCAAAAAUAUCAAAUCAUAUAUAAUAAUCAUAAUUGAUUAAAAAAAUGUUUUUUUUGUAUAGAAUAAUAUAUUAUAUUAUUAUAAAAAAAUCUCUACUAAUAGCAAAAGUUUUGUCCAAUUAUCUUAUUGGCAGUUGAUGAUACAUCUUAAAUACAAUCCCAAAACUUAGCUUAUAUACUCUAUUCGUCCAUCAAUUUGAAAAUAAAAAGCUAAAGAAAUCUUUAUAUCCACCUUUAGAAUCUUAAAAAAGAUUUUUUCAAAUCUUAAUACAAAUUAAGACCUCUUAUUUGAUAUAAUAUCCUUAGGCAAUCCUUAAUAAUGAUAGAUGUUAUCAAGAAAAAGCUUAGCUAUUGCUUCACUUGUGAUAGAUUUUGUAUAUGAUAGAAAAUAUGCUAUCUUGAUAAAAUAAUCUAUUAUCACAAAUAUAAAAUCAUAUGAACUUGAGAUAGAAAGAUCUAUAAUAAAAUCUAUAGAAACAAAUGAUUAUGAUUGUUCCUAAAUAGGUAAUAGCUAAAAAAGUCUAUAAAAUCAAUAACGAGGAGUUUUUGAUCUUGAACAAAUGUCACAUAAUUAUACAAAGUCUUUGACUAUCUUUCACAUUUGAAGCCACCAAAAAUCUUUAGAUAUUAGUUCCAAAAUCUUAUUGUAUCCAAAUGUUUGGUUAUUAAAAAUGUCAUGAUGAACUUAAAAAACUCGUAAUUGUGCUUCACCUUUGGGAAUGUAUAAUCAUCUCUCAAAAUAGAGUACAUUAUUUUUUGUAUUCAAACUUAGAGGUAUUAUGAGAUUUAAAAAAAUAUAUUCUUAAUUUUAUGAACAAGAAUAUCAAAAGAUAUAUUCAAUAUUUAAUAUGUUGAGUCAAAAGUUAGUGUUGAUUUAAUUGCUCGAAGAUAAAAAUGCUCUUCUUUUAAGAAAAUUAUUUUUUAUUGAUCAAAAGCUAUAUUUUUUUUCUUUUGAUACAAGAUAAGAACAUCUAACAAAGGAAUUUUACUAACCUUGUUGUUUUUUGGAUCAAUAUAUAAUCUAAAAAUCAAAUCUUGAUAAAGACAUGCUCCAAAAAAUUAGGCAAAAAUUCAAAAUACAUGCCAAUAUAAAGUACUUAAGAUUCUUAUGAUUUAUGUAUAGGAUGAUUAGAUUAGAAGUAUUUUCUAGACAAUGACGCCAUUCUUAAAAUGAUCCACAAUUGUAAGAAUUUUUUUGUCAUAGAUUUUGUAGUUAAUCUUGACUACUAAAAAAUUCUUAGAAUAGAAAUCUAUUGAGGAGAGCUUAUCAUUUGCUCUCAUUUGUGACAAAACAACAUCCAUAGCAAAGUUUGAUUCAUUUGUUUCAUGAAGAAUGCCUUAAUAAAGUUAACGUGAUAUAAGAUUGAUAUAAAAAUAAAUGUUCUCUUUAAAGCUUCAAAAGAUGUUUCAAUUUCUUUGCUUCACUAAAGUUUUUUUUUUACAUGUUGGCAUGUAAGACAAGAUGUAAUUUGAAAAAGUUUUUCAUGAAUAUUUGGUAAUAAUUUACAAAUCUUAAAAAACAUUACAUAUCUUUGAUUAUUUUUAAAAUCUUUUAGAAAUAAGACUAAUAUAUCUCAAAAAUCCAAAAUUCUUCCAAUCCACAAUAAUAUAUGGCCUCAUCACAAAAUAAGACAAAACAAAUCAGAACAAAAUUGAACGGAACUAAAUAAAAUAGGACAUGAAAGAUAAAAUUGAGCAAAAAAAAAUAAACAAAAAAAAAAAAGAUCUAAACAGAAAGAUGCAAAAUCAAACUUUACGAAGAGAAAGGAUCUAAAGCCAUACCUAACCAGAUGCCUUAAAGAUCCUAGCCAAUCCUAUUUAUACCUUGUCCUACCACCCUGGACUUUCUAGAGUCUUAAUAGGUAGUAGAUUCUAUCUAAAUAACCACCUUAAAUUCUUUUAGUUUAAAAGGUUCCAUAAUAGGUCCUACUUAGAUAACUACCUUAAGUUUUUUUUAGAAGGUUUUAUGGUGGAAUCCAUCUAAACACUGCCCUAAAUUCUUUCUAAAAUAUUCUGCAGUGGAUCUUACUUGGUCUACUAAGCUAACCUCAAUUCUAGAAACUUCCAUGGUCUAAUUAUCUAUAUAAUUAUCUUCUCUAUAUCUUAUUAUAUUUUAAAUCAAUAAUAGUGUUGAUUUUUUUAGGAUCCAUUAUAAGACUAUUUUUUGAAAUGAUCUACCUUAAGAAAUCAAUUUAAAAAGUGUAAAAUACAUACUUUUUCUUCGUGGCAUAUAAUCUUGGAUCUUUUAAUUUUUGUAACAUACAUCAAAUAUAAAAUUCAUGCUCUUUUGUAUUCUUAGAAUAAAUUACGAUAUCAUCUAAAUAUUAGACAAUAAAAUCAUCAAAAAACUCAUAAAAAAACAUCAUUCAUUAGAUGUUGAAAAGCAACUAGUAUGUUUGUAAGUCCAAAAGACAUGACAUUAUAUUUGAAAUAUACAUACUCAGUUCAAAACAUAGUUUUUUAGUCAUCUCUUUCUUUAAUGCAUACUAAAUUAUAUGUUUUUCUUAAAUUUAUUUUAAUAUAGAUUAUUAUUUUAUUUAGUUAAUCAAGAUAUCCUAAAAUCAAAGAUAGAAAAUAUUUAUUCUUCAUGGUCAUCUUGUUGAGUCCUCAAUAGUCCACUCAUAUUUUUAGAGAUUCAUAUUUUUUCUUCACAAAUAAGAUAGGAGCCUUGAUUAUAGAUUUAGAAUAGCAUAAAAAGUUCUUUGCUAAAUUCGUUCUAUAGGACGUUCUAUAGGACCUCCAAUAUGUGUUGACUUUGUAGGACACAUGCCUUGACUUAGAAGGCAAGUUUUUCUCCAUGUGGGCCACAUAGUUAGCUUGAUCUUCAAGCUAACAACAUAUGUGGCACAUGGCCGACUUAUUGACCACGUCUCUAAUCCAAAAAGUCAAUUAAAGACACCUAUGAAGUCAAAGCAACAUCUACGAGCUUCUAAGAAGCUUCUAUAUUAAAUAUUAUAAAAUUAACUUACUUUUACCUACUAUUAUUUACUUCUACUUAUUUGUAUAUGUAAUUAUUAGCUUACAUGAUUAUGGCCGUGAUAUUACCCCCCCUUCUAGAGACGAGUUCCACGAGGAGCGGUCAUCAUAUGUUGAGAAAAUCUAUGAUGCGACGAAUUGUAUUCGCCACAUACUCUAAUCUUUGUUCUCUUCGAAGAUGAUUGAUAGGACCUCUCAACCAUCGGUAGUAUCCCAUACCAGGGCGGGAAGACCACCCAGUUAUUUGAUCAUUGUUGAGGCCUUCGUAACUUCCUUUGAAUAGAAUAUUUGGAACACCAUCAAGAGUUGUUCCUACCUCUAGCAAAAUCACCAAACAUCGGGAGUCCCUUCCCAAAUCGUGAUACCAAACGCGUUGUAUCUCGCCAUCUACUCGAGGAAGAACAUGUCGUUCUUGAAGAUCUUCAUCUCCAUUACGUCGUCUUGAAGGUUGUGACAAUCAGAAUGUCUCGUCUGGCAGGUCAGCAAAUGAAGGCUCUUGAGUUGAAUCUGCUGGUUGUUGGUUCUACAACUCCUGAGCGUCACUACUACAAUGAAGCUAUGAACAAGAAUUCAAAGUAGAUUGUUAUCUUGCCUAGAUGUUGUUUCUUUUAUAAAGAAGGUUUUCAUCUUGAUUUUGAUCGAUGUCAUCGAUGAAAAGCCUCCACCGCCUUUGCUGCAUUUAUAAGAUUCUUUAUUGGCUCCCAUGUGUGUUUACUAAUACCGUAUCCGCUUCAAUAGACAAGAUAUUCUAAUUUAUUUUGGCGUCGCCUCGAAUCUAGGACUUCUUCUACUUCAAACUCUUCAUUAUUGUCCACUUCUAUAGGAGGAGGUGGAGCUUAUCAUCUUCUUGGUAUGUCCACUGUCUUGUAUAGUUCAAGAAGAGACACAUAGAAUACUGGAUGGAUUUUCAUUGACUCCAAUAGAUGUAAACGAUAUGCAACUAGAUUGAUUUGUACAGAAAUAGAAAAUGGUCCCAGCCUUCGAUAGUCCAACUUGUCACAAGGACGAGUGGUCUUGAUAUUGUGACGAAGUAGCCAUACCUUAUCACCCAAGAUGAAUGAUGGUUGUUCCUUUCGAUAGACAUCCGCAUUGACCUUUUGUUGUUCUUGAGCCUCUUUUAACUACGCCUUCAUCGUUGCAUGUAGCUCUGAUAAAUGAAUUGCCAAAUCUUUCGCAGCAGGAUUAUCAACUUUUGAAAAGUCAAAAGUAUCAAGUCGUGGAUGAUAACCAUAAUUAGCAAAGAAAGAAGUUUAUUUUGUAGAAGAAUGUACCGUGUUAUUGUAAGCAAACUCUGUCAAUGGCAAAAGAGUUGUCCAAUCAUCUUGUUGGUAUUAAUGGUACAUCUUAAAUAUUGCUCCAAAACUUGAUUAACACGCUCUGUUUGUCCAUCAGUUUGAGGAUGGAAUGCCGAAGAUAGUUUUAUAUCCACUUUAAGAAUCUUGAAAAGAGUCCGCCAAAAUCUUGAUACAAAUUGAGUUUCCAUAUCUCAUAUAAUAUCCUUGGGUAAUCCAUGAUAGCGAUAGAUAUUGUCAAGAAAGAGCUUAGUUGUUUCUUCACUUGUGAUAAAUUUUGUACAUGGUACAAAAUGUGCCAUCUUGGUAAAACGAUCUACUAUCAUGAAUAUAGAGUCAUAAGAACCUAAGAUUGGAAGAUCCGUGAUGAAGUCCAUAGAAAUAGAAGACCAUGGUUGUUCUGGAAUGGGUAAUGGCUGAAGAAGUCCAAAAGGUCGAUGACGAGGAGUUUUUGAUCUUGAGCAAACAUCACAUGAUUGUACAAAAUCUUUAACUGCUUUCCACAUUUGAGGCCACCAAAAAUCCCUAGAUAUCAGCUCCAAAGUCUUAUUAUAUCCAAAAUGUCCUGUUCUUGAGGGUCGUGACGAGCUUGAAGAACAUGUAAACGUGCUUCUCCUUCUAGAACAUAUAGGCGUCCUUCAAAAUAGAGUAGGUUGUUCUUGAAUUCAAAUUUAGAUAGAUCAUGAGAUUUAGAAGAAUUGUUCUUGAUAUCACAAACAAGAGGGUCUGAAGACAUACUUAACUGGACUUGCUUAAGAAAAGUUAAAUCAACAGUCAAUGUUGAUUUUAUUGCUCGAAGAUGAAAUUGCUUCGGCUUCAAGAGAACUGUUCUUUGUUGCUCAAAAGCUGCAUCUCCUUCUUUUGGUGCAAGAUAAGAACGUCUAGACAAGGCAUCAAAUAAACCUUGUUGUUUUCCUGGCCAAUAAGUGAUGAUGAACUCGAAUCUUGAUAAAGACAUGCUCCAACGAGCUUGGCGAUGAUUUAAUACGCGUGCUGACAUAAAAUAUUUGAGGUUCUUGUGAUCCGUAUACACGAUGACUGGACUAGAAGCGCCUUCUAGAUAAUGACGCCAUUCUUGAAAAGAAUCCACAAUUGUAAGAAGUUCUUUGUCGUGGAUCUCAUAAUUGAUUUCUGCUGCUGAGAAUUUUCUUGAAUGAAAGGCUACUGGAUGAAGUUUGUCAUUUGUUCCCAUUUAUGAUAAAACCGCACCCAGAGCAAAGUCCGAUGCAUCUGUUUCCAUAAAGAAUGCUUUGAAAAAAUCAACACAAUACAAGAUUGGUGCAGAAACAAACGUUGUCUUUAAAGAUUCAAAAGCAACUUCCGCUUCUUGAUUCUAUUGGAGUUUGUCUUUACAAGUCAAACGUGUAAGUGGAGCUACAACUCGAGAGAAGUCUUUGAUGAAGAUCCGAUAGUAGUUAGCAAAUCCCAAAAAACAUUAGACAUCUCUUACCAUUUUUGGGAUCUUCCAAUCUAUAAUAGUUUGAACUUUCUUAGGAUCCAUUAUAAGUCCAUCAUUUGAAAUGAUGUAACCUAAGAAAUCGACUUGAGUAGUGUGGAAUACACACUUUUCUAUCUUGGCAUAGAGUCCUACAUCUCUUAAUUUUUGUAACACACGAUGAACAUGAAGUUCAUGUUCUUCUAGAUUCUUAGAAUAGAUCAAGAUGACGUUUAGAUAACAUACCACAAAAUCGUCCAAAAACUCUCGAAAAACAUCAUUCAUUAGAUGUUAAAAAGCUGCUGGUGUAUUUAUAAGUCCAAAAGGCAUGACGUUGUAUUCAAAAUGUCCAUACCUAGUUCGAAACGCAGUCUUCCAUUCAUCUCCUUCUUUGAUGCGUACUAGAUUGUAUGCUCUCCGAAGAUCUAUUUUUGUAUAGAUCUUAGCUUGAUUCAACUGAUCAAGAAGUCUAGAUAUUAAAAGUAGUGGAUACCUAUUUUUGAGGAUAAUCUUGUUGAGUCCUCGAUAAUCAACACACAUCCGCAAUGAUCCAUCUUUUUUCUUCACAAAUAGAAUUGGAGCUCCUGCUGGAGAUUUAGAAUGGCGUAUGAAAUUCUUGGCUAGAUUUUCUUCAAUAUACUCCUUGAGUUCAACUAACUCAUUUUGUGAUAAACUAUAGAUUGGUCCAAAUGGUAGUUAUUCUCCUUCUAGAAGGUCAAUUGAACAAUCAUAGGGACAAUGUUCCGGGAGUGUAUCCGCAUUUUUAUUUUCAAAUACAUCUUGAAAUUCUUGAUAUUGGCUUGGAAUGCCACUUGAAGUCUUUUCACCAAUAGAAACGGGUGUAGCAUAAAUAAUGUAUGAUGAUUCUUUUAUAGCAGCAUGCAAAAAAGCUUUUGCACCUAUAAAUAUGGGUUUAAUUGAACUGGACUUAUGACUCUCUACUUGAUUAACUAUACUAUUAGUUAUACUUUUAGAGAAAGUAAGAGUUUGAGAAAUCCAGUCUAUUUGAGGGUUGUAUUUUUCUAACCACGAUAAACCUAAAAUGACUGGAUUAGAAGGAGAUCUAAUAAUAUUAAAUACUACAAAACUAUUAUGACCAUUGAUUAUUACUUCUAUAGGAAGGAUUUUGUGAGUAAUAUCUCCAGAAGACAAUGGACGACCAUCUAUGACUUCUACAUGAACAUGUUUAGUUUUCUUUACUAAAGAUAUGUUAUGUCUUUUAGUAAAUUCUUCAUCUAAAAAACACGCUGAGGCUCCUGAAUCUAACAAGGCAGAGACUUUGUAAUAUUUAGGUCCUAAAAUAACAUUUAAUGUAAAACAAGGAGAAGGCUCUGAGGAGAGAAUAGGACUUUUACUAGAUGUUGUGCAAGGUUCCAGCCGCACGGUUCCUAUUGUAGCUAGAUAAACUCGUUUUCUAACAUAUUGUCUUCUUUCACAGCCAUACUCCUCAUUUUGUGAUUGCGUCAUUUCUUUGGACAAUGUUGAGCAAUGUGCAUUGGUUCUCCAGAAUAUAAACAUAAUCCUUCUUGACGAUGAAGAGUCUUUUCUUGCUCAAUAAGAGGUUUGAAACGUAUUACAUAAAUUUGCAUAUCCUCUACUUCCGAAUGUAUGUGUUGAAGAGGUGUUGGUGUUGCCAUUGAAUUAUAAUAACGUUGAGGUCCACUUGUACGGUUCUCAGAUCGAAAUUCAAAAAGGCGAUUGUUACACUUCAUAGCAAAGUCAAUUGCUUGACUCAAUGUUUGAGGAUCAGGUAAGUUGAACAUUAAUUUUUUUACUUUAUAUUGUAAUCCGUAGAGAAAUUGGCUAAUAAGUGCAGCAUCAUCCCACUUAAUAUCAGUUGCAAGUUGUCAAAAUUGUGAAGCAUAUAACAUUAUUAAUCGAUUACCUUGUCGUAAAAUACGGAUCUUAUUGGUUGCAACACGAAUUGCAUCAUGCUCUCCAUACAUGGAUCAAAACUCCGCCAAAAGAGCCUCUAGAUUAUCCAAUAUUGGAUCUCAUUGUUCAAGAAAAGAUGAAAACCACGAUAGUGCUGAACUUGAAAGAAGCGUACCAAUGAAUCUAACUUGUGAUCCUGGAGUUGGAUAGCUUUGGAGUUGAAGUUCAAUCAUCAUUUGCACUUAAUUGAUAAAUCCUCAAAACUUGGAUCUGGUGCCAUCAAACUUCUCAGGUAGGGCAAUUCUUGGUUCUCUAACAUUUGAAGGGCGUUCCACUAUAGGAGAAAGGACAUGGUUUGGUGCCGAUGUUGAAACAACUCCAACCAUUUCUAUAUCUUCAUUUCCUGCCAAUCUUGUUGCUCCUUGUGGUGGUAAAUUGAGUUGAUGCAUCGCAAGCAUUAACUCUCUCAAUUGCUCUUGCAUUUGUGCCAUUGCACUCUUCAUUUUGAGAAGUUCUGCCAUGAUAACACUUAGAAGAGAGAAGAUAUCUAAUAUCGCUCAAGACAAAUAGAAGAGAGGACUUGAGGACAAAAAAAAUGAUAAGGACAAUAUCAGUUUAGAAGAGGAUAAUCCGCAACUUCUAAUAUGCUUAUAUCUUAUCAAGAAAAAGGGGUAAUCUACUCUUAAUCAAGAUUAAACAAAGCUCUGAUAUUGUAGGUGUACUCUUGUCAAUCUGUCAAGGACAAGAACUCGAUGAAAAAACAAUUCAGACAAGUGAGCCUUCACUCAAAGAGAGGUAACAAAAUAUAUAUAAACAAGUAUAUAUAUUGAAAUAGAAACUGGAAUGGCUAUUGCCAAAAGACAAGAAAACUAGAGACCCUUGAAAUUAGACUAGAAGCAAGAAAGGAGUUGACAAGAGUGAAGAAGCCUUCACUCUUGUCUCUAUAUAUAGUAUCUAACUAGGAGCUACGUGGCGACGUUCUAUAGGACCUCCAGUAUGUGUUGACUUUGUAGGACACAUGCCUUGACUUACAAGGUAAGUUUUUCUACGUGUGGGCCACAUAGUUAGCUUGAUCUUCAAGCUAACAACAUAUGUGGCACAUGGCCAACUUGUUGACUACGUUUCUAAUCCAAAAAGCCAAUUAAAGAUACCUAUGAAGUCAAAGUAGCGUCUAGGAAGCUUCUAAGAUGCUUUCAUAUUAAAUAUUAGUUUAUAUGAUCAUGGCCAUGACAUUAGAUUAGAAUGCUACUUGAAAUAUUUUUUCCAUCUAUAAUAAGUGUGGCAUAUAUAGCAAAAGUUGAUUCUUCUUUUUCAUUAUGCAUGAAAUUUUUGUACUUACCAAUAAUAAUUUGGUUGUAUCCAUCUUAUGGAUUUGUAUUUGCUUAGCAAAAUCUUAGGCUUAACUAUAGAAAAAAUUAAGGCUAUAAGAAAUCUUGUCUAUUUGAAAGUUAUACUUUUCUAGACACAAUAAUUCUAAAAUAAUUGAAUUAUAAAGAGACUAAUCUCAUUAAAUAUUAUUAAAUUAUUAUGACCACUAGUUGCUACUUUUAAGAAUAAAGUUUCAUAUAUAAUAUCUCCAAAAGAUAACAAACAACUAUCUAUUACUUCUAUAUGCUCAUGUUUAGUUUUCUUAUUUAAAGAUAUAUGUAAUUUUUUAAUAAAGUUUUUAUCUAUUAAACAUAUUGAGGCUCUUAAAUCUAAUAAGGCUAUAUCAUCUUCUUUAGCAAUCAUGCUUCUCAAUUUGUGAUUGUAUUUCUUCUUUGAAUAAUGUUGAGUAAUAUAUUUGACUUUUCUACAAUAUAAAUAUAAAUCUUCUUGAUGAUGACAAGUCUUUUCUUAUUUAGUAAGAAGUUUAAAAUAUACUAUGUCAAUUUAUAUAGGCUUUGGCCUUGACAAAUAAGCUUCCAUAAAUUUAGAAGAUAUUGCUAUUGCUUGACUUGUACUUCUUCAACCAAAUCUUUAUUUUUACCAUUUUUGAAAAGAGUCAAUUGUCAUAUGUAAUAGCUUGAGUAAUCAAUUGUUCUAAUGAAUCUACUCUCAUCAUUGUCAAUAAUAAAUCUUAGAUAUUAUCUUUUAAUUUAUAUCAAAUUGAUUGAUAAUGGCUUUAUUAUUCUAAUCCACAUCACAAGUAAGAUUUUGGAAUUUACUAGCAUAUAUAGUAUUUGUACGUGAUCUUUAUUGUAGCAAUAUGAGGUUGAUUUUUGCUACCCUUUCUUGAUUAUUUUUUCCAAAUAUACCUGUAAAUACUUCCAAGAAUGAAUUCAAAUCAUAGAAUAUUCAUGAAUCUUUUUUUUAUCAAAUGUGUAAAUCAAGAGAAUACUUCUUGAUAGAAGUGCAUCUAUGAAUUCAACUUAUAUAAAUCCAUCAAGGUAUUGGAAAGAAUGUGGCCUUAAAUAGAGCUUAACUUGUUGCAAAAAACUUUGUAAUUUUGAUCUUGUUCCACCAUAAUUUUUGAACAUACUUAUCCUUGCUCUUUUUGUACUUAUAGAAGCAAGAUUUCUUGAAUUUGAUUAUAUAGCUGAUCUACUUACUUCCUUCAACUGCACAACUUCUUGAAGUAGACUCUGAACUUCCUUCAUGUGUACAAGAGUAGUGCUUCUAUAGUUGGCACGAAAUUUCUUUUUUAAGAAUCUUGACAAGCUUGUGAAGAUCUACAAUAGUUACAAAUCUAUUCUUAUCUUUGCCAAAUGUAGCAUAUAUGAUUUUUUCUUCCAUUUCAAACAACUUUAUAAAUCUAGAAGUCAAAUUAAAGAAAGAUAAUCCAUAAUUUCUAAUGUCAGAUGAAAAUUUUCACAAAGAGAGAUAAUUUGCUCAUUUUUAAAAAAAAUCAAUGUUAAAAAAUUAAAUUAUUUGUUUAAAGAUAGAUAGUUUGUAACCUUCAAAAUACAACAAUGAAAGUGGAGUAAUCCACUCAUUUUUAAAAUAAAAAAAGAAAAAUGAAUUAGUAAUUUGUCAAAUUAUUAAGGACAUGAAUCUUGAAGAAUUGAAAGAUUAAGGCAUUCUUAUGUCACUCAAAAAGACUAAAUAACCAUUCAAAGAUGAUAUAAUAUUAGACUAGAAUGACUAUUGUCAAAGAUAGGAAGACUAAAAAGUCUUAAAACAAGACUAAGGACUAGAAAGUCAUUUCCAAGAAUAAAGAAGUCUUCACUCUUACCUUCAUAUAUACUAUUUAACUAAGAAUUAUGUAGCAAUAUUCUAUAGGACCUCCAACAUGUGUUGACUUUGCAAGACAUAUAUCUUAACUUACAAAAUAAGUUUACUACAUGUAUGCCAUAAAGUUAGCUUCUUCCAUAAGCUACCAACAUAUAUCACACAUGAUUCAUUUGUUGACCAAGUCUCUAAUUUGUCAAUCAACUACAAACACGUUGUCAUAUUACGUGGCAUUUGGCUUGAGAAUGCAUUGGACACUUGGCUAUGGAAGAUAAAAAGAAAAUUGUAACAAGUCCUAAUACUUCUAAUAGAUUCUUAAAUAAAUUAUAAUUAAAGAUUAGCAAGUAUAAUCAAAUAUCAAUCAAAUUCAAUUAAAAUUGCAAAGAAAUUAUAUAAGAAAUACAAAGUAUUCCUAAAGACCCUUUAAAGAAAUCAUAAAGAAAUAACAUAAGAAUUAAAAAAUAUACUAAAAUAAAAAUCUUAAUAAAAUAUUAAAAUAGAAAUCUUAAUUAAAUCCUAAUCAAAACUUAAUAAAUCCUAACUAAAUCCUAUUCUAACCUUAAACAAAUCUUAAUCAAAUCCAUGUCAAAUUUUAAACAAAUUCUAACUAAAUUCUAUUCAAUCCUAAAUAAAUCCUAGUAAAAUCCUAAACAAACCUAAACAAACCUAAACAAACCUUAACCGAAUCCUAAUCAAACCUUAACCGAAUCCUAAUCAAACCCCAAACAUAUUCUAACCAAAUCCUAAAUAAUCAAAAUAAUUCCUAUAGCAGAUUUAAACCUUAAUAACUAAUGAAUGAACCAUUGAUUUUAACUCAAAUUUUGCACACCUCUUUAUAAUUAAGUUGACUACAAAUAAAAAUAUUUUGAAGAAGAUUGAACUCACCAAAAAGAAGAUCAAUUUUAAUAUUUUCUCGGAUAUUGGCUAGCCUCCUUCUUUAAUAUGAAUGUUGAAUGUUUAGUAUCAAUAUCUCCUUAUUAAAUUGUUUGAUUGAUCUUAAAUUUCUCACAUACGUAGGAAAAUAAGUUUAUUAUCUAUAUACAUUAUUUUCACUUCACUCCAAUAGAUAGAUUGCAAGAAAGCUUAGAAAUCCUCACUAAACCUAAAACUCUAUUUUCCAAGACUUUGAUCCACUUAAACUUGAAUAAUCUUUUAUCCAAUCCUUUAAUCAAGCUAAAACACACAGCAUAUAUUGAACACAUAUAUAUCUACAAAUCCUCAAAAUAAAUGAAAUAGACAACUUUACAAGGAAGUUAAGAGUAAAUUCUAGCAAAAAUUAUCUAGAAAAACUAGAUAUUGAUACCUAGAGAGGGCCGAUUAUGAACGAGGGUCGAAAUUAGACCUCGAGGCACAAAACCAAACCUCAACAACGAUUCUAGGAUUCUUUUGGAAAUUGAAGGGUAGAAUUUGAUAGCAGACUUGAUAGAUUUUCUUUCAGUGUUGAUUUGAUGUAAUUUGAAUGUGUAUUGAAUUUGUAAGAGCUUUGUAAAGUUGGGAUUUGUUUUGGAUGACUCUAGAUUUGUGAAAUAAAGUGGAUCCUAAUUUUUGGAGAAUUUCAUAAGUUUGGCAUUAGAUAUGAUUGAUAUACUUUUGGCAUUGUACUAUGUUAGUAGAAUCAUGAAACUAGAAUGGAUGCAUUUGUAGUCAGUAUUAAACAUUUUAACAACUUGGAAUAAAUAUUAUUGCAAGAAGGUACAUCCAUCAAUAUAUAUAUGGUAUAGUACAUCUUGUUAAUUCAAUAUUGCACAAAAUAAUCAUUUUUUUUUAAUAGAUCAAUAUAUGAUGUUAUGAAACUUGAUUGUUAAAAUUGAAAGAAUUAUAGUAAAAAUUGUUUGAAAAAUACAAAUCUGAUACAAGCUAGUUUGUCUUACAAAGGAUGAAUUCAUAAUUGAUAGAUUUAAAUUUUGAAGGAAUUGAGAAGCAUUCAAUGGUUUUCAACAUUUGCCCAGGAACUACAUUUGAUUAUGUAAUUUAUUUUCUAAUGCAAAUCAUGAAGAAAAUUUUAGAACUUCAAAAUAUUAAGUUGAUAAAUUAUUUUUAAUUUAUUUCCAUCAUUUUUAGAAAUAUUUUAUAGAUAAUAACUCAUAUUUGAUUAUAAUUAUUGAUUUUAUAACCAAUUUUUAUUUUAAAAAGAAUGUAAUUUUGUAGCCUAAAUAUUUUUUUUUAAAAAAAAUCAAUAUCAUUUUUGAAUUUAAUUAUGUGAAUUAGAGAGAUUAUCUUAUUAUAUUCAUGUAGAUGCAUGAAAAUCCAAAACAAUCCUGUGUUUAAGUGAUAGAAUGAGUGUUACACAUACAUUAAUUCAUUAUUCUCACACAUCUCAAAGUAUUUAUCUAUUUUAUUUUAUUUUUUUACAUGCAUUUCAAAACAUAGCACUCAAUUUCCAUAUAAAUAUAUUUUUAUUUUCUUUUAUUUAUUUUUUAAAAUUAAAAAUAUAAACUUUCCACCCUUAUGCUUGUUCAAAAUAUUCUAAUUAAAAUUACUAUUUCAUGGUUUAAAACAUAAAUUUUUUAACCAAUAAAAAUAAGAUAAAAAAUAGAAAUGCAUAAAUCAUUCUAUUCUAGAAAUUCCACAAAAUAUUUUUAUCUUAUUUUCAAUAUAUAUACAUCAUCAAAAAAAAAACAAGGUGUUGUCAAUGCAUCACAAAGCAUGGCUAUUGUUCAAUCCAAGAAAAAAAAUUAAGUAUUGAUUUGAUGAGGCAGUAAAUAUACAUCAAUAGAACAUCCAAAUCCACAUAAAACCAAAGAAAAAAAUAGUUCAUUACUAAAUGGAUCAGACACCAUUUUAUUCUUCUUGGAGCAAUCGUAACAACGAACAGCCACGGAUGGAUGAUACUCUCCCGAACGAGGCGCAACUCAUCCAUCAUCCAAUGAACAACGUUCGCUCGUCGGACACCGUCGCCUUUAUGCUUCGUUCGUCACCAUGUUUCGUUCGUCGUCGUCGUCAGCUUCGUCGUGUGUGCAUGUUAGUGUAUGUAAGCGAGUGUGUGUGUGUUUUGCGAUGAGGAUGGAGGUGGUGGUGGUGGUGGUGGUAUCUCCGAUGAUGCAAUGGUGUGGAGAUGAUUGGAAUGAACGAGUGCGCAAUUCCGGAAUAAUCUCUACCGGAGGCGUCUCCUCCUGCGCACGCACGCACGCAACUCGCCCUUCGCAUCGAUGAGGAGGAGGAGGAGGCGGAGGAGAGGCAUUGCUGUUUGCAACGGGGAACUAUCCCCCCCCCCCCUCAGCUUGCGACUCGACGCAGCUGAUCAAUUCCGUAGCAUGGAAGGAAAGGUCUGGAAAGGGUGGGAGCGUGUGCCCCAGGCUUUCCAGUCCCCCUCAAAAUCAGCUUCUCUUUCAGAGAAUGAGCCGUGUUGCUACUGACACAUCGAAGGAGCCAGAAUUGAAGGAUUCCCGUGUGACUAUUCCGAACAGACGAUGCGAGAUUCCGAGACAGCUCAAGAGCCUGGGACGGACCACCCCCUGGAAUGCGGAGGCGGAUUCGAGGGAGCGAAUGAAUCCAAAGUCGAGGAACUCGACGUGAGAGGGCAGCAUCAAUCGCCGCCUCCGGUGAUGGUGGGACACUUUUUCUUCUUCUUCUUCUUCUGUUUCUUCUUCUCCUUCCGAUUGAUGGUGCAGCGGCACCGGAUACUUCAGAUUUGGGUGCACGCCAUCACCCCCCUCUCAGAUUAUAAUAAUAAUAAUAAUAAUAAUAGUAGGGGGUUGGGUGGGGUGGGGUAUUAGCGGCAGAUCCAUUUGCAGUUGCAGGGAGACUUUUGCGGUGUGAUGCUCCUCCUCGACAAUGGAUAAUCUGCCAUAGUCCCCUUUCGUGUCUGUUGCCGCACACGAGCCUCCUCCAGCGCCUUGGCUGAUUUUUGGCGGGUGCUGACUGUGUCUGCCACCUAUACUUUCCCCAUCCACUUGGUUCCAGGGGCUCUUCUGGAAGCUGAGCUGAAACGCCUCCUAGUUGAGCAGCUUAAUCGUUAAUAUGGUCGCAUCUGCAUUUGGAGCUUCCUUCGGAAAUCCUCGCCCUUUGAUCUCCCCCCCCCACCCAAUUAAGUUAAAAUUUUAAAAAUAAGUAAAAUCGUUAAACCUUAAAAUAUAAAUAUUAUUCCUAAAAUGAAGGUGGAAUAUAUAUAUAUAUAUAUAUGUAUAUACAUAACAAAAAAACUCUCUUAUUUUUAUUAGUAGAAUACUACAAAAUAGGAAUCCAUUCUUUACGGUUGUCAUAUGAUGAUGACGUGUGUUCUUUUCUCUUUUCUCUUUUUUCUAAAAAAAAACAUUAUAUUUUUAAUUAUGCUUUCACAUACUUAAUUAUUAGAAUAUAAAUACUACUACUAAUAAUAAUAAUAAUAAUAAGAAAUCAAAAUUUUGGCAAUACACAAAAAUUUAUGAAUACUUUGUUUCCAGUGUGAGAUCUCUGACAUUCCCCCCUUCUCUUUACUCCUUUCUGUGUGUGUGUUUGCCUUCCUGUGAGUGUGAAGCAAGUCAGAGUUGGGGCCUGCAAGCAACAAUCGUGUUAGGGGAGGAAAGAGAGGAGCAAGGCCCUCCCUUCCUUCCAAAAGAAAGAAUAAAUGAAUGCAUUAUAUAGCAGCCCAGUCAAUCCCCAGCUCUCUCUCCUUUCCUUUGCCGACUGACUGACAUGCAAUGCCUUUGCUGAUGGAUGAGAACGAGGAAGGAAGGAAGGGAGGUAAAUGGGGAAGAAGGGGGAUGGAUGAUGAUGGGCUGGCUGAAGAGGUGGGGGAGAGAAGAGGAGAGGAGGCAGAUGAUUGAUCUCUCUUUCUUUAGGGUUUGGCAGAAUGUGCCCCCCCCCCCUCUCCCUUUUUGUUUUUUUCACACACUGUAUUGCAAAAUGUCAAUAAUAGCAAUUGCAAAAAGUCUUCUUCGUCUUCUUCUUACUUUGACUGGGAGAGAGCGAGACGGAGAGAGAGGAGGUCCUCUCUCUCUGCUUCCCUUCCCUUCCUCUCACUUCCCUGUGUGCGCUGAUGACUCGGAUUAUUUCCUGGAGUAAGUUGUAGUAGUAGCAGGAGGGAGUCGCAGUAGUUGCAUGGUGACACCCCGUGGCAGGGUCGGGCCAGAAAAAAACAGCCAACCAGGAGAAGAAGAAGAAGACCCAGCGUGAGAGAGAGCGAGAGAGAGUCAGAACACAACUUACUACAUGGAAAGGGUAAAAUAAAAUAAAGUAUAAAAUAUAAUUAUGGCUCAAGCACAAGCCAACCAACAAACGAAGGAAGGAAGGAAGGAAACCAAUAAACUGAGAUGGAUGGAUGAAUGAAUGAAUAAAUGAAUGAAUGAGUGAAUGAAUGAGUGAAUGAAUGAGUGAAUGAAUGAGUGAAUGAAUGAACGAAGGAAGAGAGGGGUUACUUACGAAAGGAAAACGGAAGCGGGGGGGAAGGAGGGCCAGUGCGCGGGCACGGGUAACAGGGGGGGAGGGGGGGGACUGAGACGGAGAAUGAGACAAGGAGAGAGAGAGAGCUAUGUGUAAUGUUAUGUGUAUGUUAUGUCUCACAGAACAGGAAGAGAAUUGCGUUGCGUUGCGCUGCGUCCACCAACAACAACAGCGAGCAAGCUCUUCGGUGGCGUCCAAGCUUCUCUACUCUGCUCUGCUUUACUCUGCUCAAUUCCUCCCUCCCUCACUCCGCUCUCACACCCUGGCUACACCUUUCCCUGGUUCCAGGUGCCCUUCGUCUACUUCCUUCUUCUUCCUCUUCAUCGACCGCCACGCCUCCCUCUCAAUUGCGUUGUUUCUUUCCCGUGCUGGUAGACUUUCGUCUGGGAAGAGGGUGAGAUGCCGGGCGUUUUCGUGUUUCGAUGUUUGCGAGGGGCGUCGCUCUUCCGGGAUUAGCGUCGUUUCUUCUUCGUUCUUUUCCUUCCUUCUUUUUCACGUCGCGUUAGCAAUCUUUGGUUGAGGCGGUCGGAGAGAGGAGAUGAGUAUGGGAUUGGGAAAUUUCAGGUAUUUGGUUUUGAGCGUGGAGGGGGGGGGGGGCUAUGGUGGUUGGCUGGGAUAAUUGGGGUUCUUUCUUUCCUUGCGAGUGGAUUAUGGAGAGCUGCGUUUCUUUUCUGAAUCGAGCAGCAUCCAUCUGAGAUUUCCGUAGGCCAUGGUGCUCAACGUGUCAUUAUGGAGGUUACGGCUGUUUGAAGUGGAAAGAAGGUUUCACGUGUGUUGAUUGCAGUUCAGCAACGUUUGUUUAUUUUUUGGUUUUGUUUUGUGUGUUUGUGUGUUGAUUGGUUAGUCGCUUCUUCCGUUUGUUUUUUUGGGAGAUGGUGUGACAUGGUCGUGUUUUAUUGGGUGCUAGAUGAACUGGUUGGGGUUUGGUUUGUUUCCACUUUGCAUAGAAGGUAUCGAGUGCUUGGGAAUCACUUUCGUGACUUAAUUUGUUUGUUACAAUCGAAGGACGCUGAUAAGGCUUGUCUACUCGUACACUUUUCGGGUGGUCUUUGGCAGAAUUUCCGUGCAUGAUUUUUUCUUUUUGCCUUUUUGUCUUUUUUAAUUUUAAAAUUUCAAAACAAUGGUUUUAAUUUCUUUGAUCUGAUUAUUUCUUAAAGUCUACCGAUCUGAUCGAGGAAUUGCGGUGUGGUGUCUUCUAUCAGACCUAACCUUGAUCCAAAGUUUUUUAAGAUGUGUCUCGAGAGGUUCUUAACAAUAGGGUGCGCUUAGCAAGGGCAAUUGAGGUGGUUUACUGUCUUAGCAGGUACGAAUCACUUCUAAUUCUGGGAAUACGUUGCUUGUGUGCAGUUUAUCUGUUUUUAUAGUGAGUAUACCAGUGCGCUCGGGCAUCUGAAGCAGGUCGCUCACUUCUGCUUUGUCACUGUAGAGAGGUACUGUUCUGGCAAUGAAGAUAGCGCUAACUACACGUUCUUGAAUUGGUUCGAGUUGUUCCAAGUGCCCCUUCCUUACUUGAUACGUGGCGGAGAUCGUGUUAGAUACGGACUCUGUGGCAUGUUAUGGUGACAAGUUUUCUGCAAUUGAAGCUGAUUCGGGUAAGUCUCGAACGAUUCUACACGUUUCACUCGCAUCUGUGCCUUCUUGCUGCUGGCGCGUUCAGUUAUCUUUCACGAAAGAAGAAUCAGAAUCUUAAAGAUGAAUGCCUCGUAAGAUUACUUUUUGCACAUAAGUGGAUUUUCAUACCCACAGUUCUUUAAGCAAUUUCUGUCUCCUGCUUGGUGGUCGCAGGAUACAGGUUACACAUUGUGUAAGAUUCAUUUGAACCCUGGAAAUUAAGUAGAAUGGUAUGUAUGACAUGACAUGACAUGCUCUUCAAAAUCGUGGCACCACGUUGGCACGAGGGCGUGAUUUACCUCUGGAUAUUACGCCUAGACAAUGCAGGAUAAUAUCUUUCAACGUAUUUUCCGGUCAGUUCUCGAUCCAUAGUGAUAAACCGUGUGAAAACAUUGGUUUGAUUGGUUUCUGUACAUGUCCAUGUUUCCUACGUAAUUAGUUUUGAUACUGCGAACGCUCACGAUACCAUCGGAACUCCAUCCACCUUGCUGGAGAUUGAUGGUGGUAAAGAUCCUCUCUAACAGUGAUUCCACUAGCAGGACUCUUCAUCGUUGAUCAAAUGGUUCCAACAUUGUCGUUUUCAUUAGCUGCGUGGUUUUGAAGAAACAUCAUAUAAAUACUGAUAGUUGAGGGGUCAGGUAGGCCGAUUCCAAAUUGCGCAGCAAGGCUGAUUUAUUAUAUGAUUGGUAACAUUGCUUUGCAGGACUUGUAGCACCUCAACUAUCCAUGCGGUCAACCAUCUACUAUCGCUGUUGAUCCCAGGAAGAUAAAGUCAGGCGCCACGGCUACAAUAACUGUCUCCGGUUUUGAGAAGAAGGGAGUUAACUGCAUUGAAAGACAAAAGGAGGAGAGUGUGUACAGUCAAGCAGUCAAAACGGGGUCCCUUUGCUGUGUGGCCGCAAGGCCACAUGGAUCGUCCGACAAUGGUCACAAUUGGUCAAGUUUGGGAGAUAAACCCCGUUGGCACACCAAUGAGGGAUAUGUGCCCCCGUUAUCGAGCUCGCACUUGGACCAACUGCAUGGUGAAGACUACGUGGGCACAUCAUCUCGAACGUUUUCUGUUCACAGAAGAUCGUUAUCCUUGAGUGGUCGUGGAAGUAGAAGCUGGAGGAGGGUAGAUGGCAGUAGACUCUAUAACCAUUACCGCACUCCCUCUGGGAGUCUAUAUGGAGGCAGUCCCAACAAUUUUAUAUGGAAUCCUCUUGCUUCAUCCAGUCAUCGUAUUGCUGAUUCGACAACAGCUGAAUCAGGUACACGAAUGUCCAAAGGCAAGCGACAUUGGUCGAUGCAUACUUCAUUUUCAUGGAUAUUUUAAAUGAUCACUGCUGGUAGAUAGAACUUAUGGUAACGCAGAAUCAAGUUGUCACUAAUCAUAACGAGAUGCAUAAACUGCAGUUCCGCUUCUGAGACUCAUGAAUUAUCUGUCUUUUUCGUCUAUGCUGGACUGUUAUCAUGAUCGUCGAAGUGGAGGCUGCCAUCCUAGCCUGACAAUUUUCAAACUUUGAUCCUGCAGAAAUAGUAGCAAGCCCUCUAACCUCGGCACACUCCUCCAAAGCGGUAAGUACUAACGCAACUUCUACUCAAUUUUUGUCUAGUCUCUGUCCUGGAUGGAGCCCUAAGACUUAGAUAUAUAUUUUUAUCAAGUAACGUAUUCCUGUAGUAGAGUCUGACUUGGAUUGAGUUAGGAAAAGAAUGCUUCUAAUGAACUACUGGAGCCGGAUACAUGUUCUAAGUUUCAGACAUAGAAUUGACAAAAGAUUUUUAAAACAAACUUUUGAUUUCAAUUUUAUUCAUUGCGCUAUCUGCAGGAACACAUUCUUACUCGUCCACCUGCAAUAUCAAUAAAAUCCGAGAGCACUUCAUCGUCAUUUCUCAAUGUCACAAAAGCCCCCCCUGCUCCUCACUUAGAGUCUGGUUUACCAUCGUCUUCCCAUGGGAACGACUCCGCGUUAUCUAAGCCCUCAUUCCUGGUGCCUGGCAAUCCUUCACGGAGAGAACAUUAUGAGGGACGUUUUCCUCCGACAGGUCCAGGUCAAGUGCCAUCUUUGGAUGGGCGCUUUUCCUUUCAUCGAUCAAACUCCAGUAGAAGUUCUAGCGCAGGGGGGAGCUCUGACUGGUCAUCGUUCAAUGGCUUUAUGGAAGCGGGAUCCGAUGCACGGCAGGAAUGGUUAAGGGUAUCAAACGCCACGAGUCCAUCUGACUACCACUGGGGUACCAACCGGUCGGAGGAAUAUGAUAGAGGUUCAGGUCAGAUGUGCAUGGAGAAAAUUACCGCACGUAGUUCUCAAUCAACCCCGUCCAGCCCGUGUCCUGAGGUAGCCUAUUCAUCUUGCUCUUCGAAUGAUUUAGCUAUGUGCAAUCGUCCUAAUGAAUAUGAUUGGGCUAGUGGUCUUGCUAAGUGUCGUGGAUGUAUUCAGUCUUGGAUAUUCUGGAAAAGUACUUGCUUUUAAUGUAAUCCGUUUGGUUUUGGAAUUAGUUCUACAAAUUGGAUGAGUGUGUUGUAUACAAUCACUCGAACAUAGACAAGCUUUUCUCAUAAAACGUAAAAUUACAGUUGCGUCAUUCGUUGUGCAUGCUCCAAAUACGUUGUCAUGUCCAACUUACUCCUUAUUCAUAUGUUCUGAUUCCUUGAGUUCUGUGCAGAAUUGUGGUGUCUGCUCACGGGGACUUACUCAGCGAUCUCCAUGGGCCUCCUCGCGUUUUAUGGGUUUUCACGAAUGCAAUGUAGUUGGGGUUUUGGUUUGUGGCCACACAUAUCAUACUGAAUGCCUCGAGCAGAUUACCCCUGAUAGCUCUCGCCAAGACCCAGCUUGCCCGCGUUGCAGCUCUGGAAAGGUUGCAUCAAAGCAACCGAUUGUGUCUAUGCCCACUCUUAAAUCUGGGACUGUACGAGGAAGCAGCUUCAUGAGCAGGCCAAGCCCGAGAAAUAAACUGUCUAGAAUUGGAGUGCUAGAUGAUACUGUCAGUUUCGGCAAGCCCAGAUUUUCAAUAAGUUCGCCAGGGGAACCUUCCUCUUAAAAAGGGAGUUGCAGAAUGAUGUCCUAAAAGUCCUCACAUACUUCACAUGAAGGCCUACUUUCGUGCGUAUGACUCCGUGCGUGUGACUGGAGCUCAUUUGAACGAGGAAGAUUGGUUGUUGAGAAAAUUUCAGCGGAGAUGGUAUCUCUAAAAGUUGAUGCAGAUUGCGCUUCGAAACGGACGCGUGAGGAUUUUUGGCUUUACCUUUCAUGCAGUUGAUCGUGAACCAUGCUCUGAUUCAUGUUUCUCGGUGUUUUCUGAAUGUGAUUCAAGGUCUGUCGUCAUAAGGAGUGGUGGUUUCCUGCCGAGAAAAACUGCCUUUUGCUUGUUCUUAGUUUAGGGUUGUCAACACCGUUAUUAGAGCAGGCAACAUCUAUUGGAUGCCUUUUCAUCUUGUGAAGUCUUAGGUUACGGAGGGCCAGUUGCAGAGAAAAGUCUCUAAUUGAGUGCUCACAAUGGCUUUGCUUUAAGAUACAAUAAUGUCCAUUACAGAGGGUAUCAUGCCAGGGGUAGUUACAAUGUAUAUACUCCGCUGGGCAUGGCAUUCUUCCUGAUAAAGCCACUGGCUUUCACAUUGUACUAUACUCAACAUUUUGUAAAUACAAUGGCCUUAUGGGAAGCAUAGGCACUUCUUCUCUUUCCUAGCCAAAGUGUAGAAAUGUUGUCCUUCUGAAAUUGAGAACUGUUGUGAAAACUGAUGCUUGCAUACUGUUCAAUUAUGCUAUAAUUCCUUAAAUGUCCUUUUCUUUCUAUUCAUCAUUUGAUGUCUUCCAGAUAUGGGAACUGAAAACAUAUCAUGACUCCACCAUUCGACACUCCAGUAUUUCUCUUUGAAGUUGUUCCACAAGCCGCACAUGUACAGGAAAGAUUAUACAGAAGAGAAAACAGAACAAAACAAAAUCAUUCUUCAACAAAUUAUUAUUUAAAUAUAUUUGUAAACAACUGUAUAAAAAAAUAAAAAAUAAACUGUUAUUAAAAUAUUGUUUGUGGUAAUUUUCCUUUUUGUUUAUUUAGCUAUAUGUGUGUACUUUCUUAACAAGGAGAAUCAUAGGUUUUUUAAUACUUAAGAAUAUUUGAGAAUGUAAGGAAAUUGUAGUGCACAUGAUAUUUGAUUGAUGUGCUUCUGUGCCAAAGCAUUUUCAAGAUGCUUUUGAGAAUGUCCUUUUGACUUGGAUUCAAGGUGCAUUGUUCCAAUAGUAUAUUCAUCUGUCCCCGUCCAUGGCUGAUUUAACCCUGCAAAGGUUUUCCUCCCACAUUGCCACACAAGUAAUCAAAUAUAUUUAAAUAUAUGAUUUAUUUAACUUUUAAAUAUUUUUUUAAAAAUAUAUGAUCAAAGAAUGAACAUAUAUUUUGAAAUGUUGUUAAAUUGUACAAGAAUGUUAAAUCUUAUACAAGUUUUCAUUGUUAAUUUUUUUAAAGAUACUAUUUCAAAAAUAAUUAGUAUAUUAAAGAUUUGUAUAUUUUUUGUGUGUAUAUAUAUAUAUAUAUAUAUAUAUAUAUACAUCCAAAUUUAGGGAUUUUAAGAUUUUAUUAAAAUCUUCCAAUUUGUCAUUGUGAGGCUACAAAGAUAAGAAAUCAUGAACUGAAAUUCGAUAAAAUUAGUUUAAUUAGAUAUAAAGUAGAUUUCAUUAAGGAUUUUAUUUACUUAUUUAUUUAUUAUAAUACAUAUCUAUGCAAGAAAGAAGAAGAUGAAGUGUGUAGAAGAAAAAUAAUAAGAGAUAAAGUAAUAAGAAAAACAUGACAUGUCUUUUAUUCUUAUUUUUACUAAAUACAAUAUUGAGUUGAAUUCAAAAGAAAUGUUUCUAAAAUAGAUAAAUAAUAUUUAGAGUUUUUGUAAAAUUUACAAGAAACAUCUUAAUAUUUAAAUGUAAAAUAUGUUACUAAAGCAAGAUAGUAACCAAAAUUUAAGAACUAUUGUAAUAUCAAAAAAAUAGAAUACCUACAUACAAUUUAUAAGACAUAAUUGAAUUCUUUUAUAGAACUAAGAUAUCUAUUAAUAGAAAUUUAAAAUUAUUAUUAAUAUUAUAAUAUAUACUUUUAAUUCUACAAGUUGAUUUUUUUUUUUAAUUUUUUUAAUUUAACAUUUUCACUAUCUUAAAUUCUUCAAAAAAUAAAAUGUAUACAUAGAUAUAUCCAAUUGUCAACCUGGGUUGAAAUCAGACCUUAAGGCACAAAACCACACACCUACAAUGACUCCAAGGUUCUUUGGUAGAUUGAAAAGUAGAGUUUGAGAACAAAUUUGCAAAGAGAUUUUUGGACAUUGGUUUUAUAUCAAUUGAGUUAAUAUUCAGUUUUGGGAGAUUUUCAAAGUUAGUAAUGUUCUCGGUUGGUUUAAAUUUUGAGAAAUAAAACUAUGUUUACACCUUUGAAGGUUUCUUGAGUUCUGUUGUAUGAAUAUGGAUAAAUUUUGAAUAAAAUAUUGGUGUAAUAGUUGUAAAAGUAUGUGCAAAUUUUGAGGUCAAUCAAAUGAUUAGAUCAAAGUAUGUGAAGGUUUUUAAAAAUUGAGGUCUUAGAAAUUGGAGUAUGAUGGUCAAUGAUUAUUUUUAAGAACUUUAGCAAUUUGUAAAUUGGAUUGAAGUAUAUAUAUAUAUAUAUAUAUAUAUAUUAUAGAGACUAGAUUUCAUUUCCAAUAGUUUGACUUUUGGGAGAAAUUCAAUGAUUCAAAAAAGAGAUAUUGACACUGGAAGUUCAACAUUUAGAUUGGAGGAGGCUGGCCAACAUCCAAGCCAAUUUUUGGGUUUUUCUUCCAUUUGGUAAGUGCAAUUAUCUUCAAAUUUGUUAUACUUGUUUUUAAUUAAGAAGUUAAGAGAUGUGUAAAUUUUUAAGUAAGAUGAAUGGUUUAAACAUUAGAUAUUGGGAUUUCAAUCUGCCUUAGGAUUUGUUUGAAUUGGUUAGGUAUUGAUUAAGAUUUGGUUUAGGAUUUAUUUAAGGCUUAGGGUUUGUCUAAGCUUUGGUUUAUGGUUUAGGGUUUAGAAUUUAGUUAGUGUUUGACCUAAAAUUUAUUUAAGAUCCAUAAGGGUUUCAAUUAAGAUUAAAAUAAGAUUUGGUUAAAUUUUAAUCUAAUAUUUCUUUAGGAUUUCUUCAUGUUUCUUUCAUAAUUUCUUUAAGAUUUCUUUUGGAUUUGAUUAAAGCUUGAUUAACAUUAUUAAGAUUUAAUUGGAACUUAUUAAAGAUUCUAUUAGAGUUGUUAAGAUCUUGCUGUUGCAAUUUCCUUUUUACAUUCCAUAGGCAUGUGCUCAAUGCAUUUUCAAGCAAGACUUAAUGUAAUACAAUACUGUCCACUCCAAAAAAAUCAAAUAAAACAUUUGUGAAUAUCUUUAUAAAAAUAAAAUGAUACUAACAUGGUCAUACGUAUCAUAUGAACUCCAAUAAGCAAUAAUUUGGAUACACAAUGAUAUAAUGACAUAAGAAUGGAAAAUAUUCACUAAAUGGCACAAUACAAACUAUUUUUAUUUUUAUUAAAAAAAAUUAAUCUAACAAGAGAUACUUCUAAGAAAUUUUAAGAUUAAUUUUUAAGAAAAUUGAAUAAACUUAUCAAAAAUUAAUGAAAAAAAGAAUUGUGUUCAUUUACACCCAAACCUAUCUAAAUAACGAAAUAGUUGAUUUUGUAGAAAUUUGCAAAUUCGAAGAGAACAUCGUACAUCUAUAAUCAAGUAGGGAUAAAAAUGUUGAAUGAUUUUAGUUUAAAUUCACCAGCUUUUAAUAGCAAAGAUGAAGAGAUGUAUCUCACAUAUUCAAACCCUGUUAAGAUUAACAGUACCUUAACGAUGUGCCAACGUUGAUAGACUCAAGAUAUAGUUGCGCUGAUUGGUCCAGUUGCCCAAUCUCAGCAAAACCUCAGCACAAAGAGCCACUUUUAUAAAGACAUGAUGUAAAUUCCUUUAGAGUUUAGAACUGAGUUUAGAACAAUGAGAUUCUAUUUGUGAAAUAGAUAAAUAAGCACAUACACACACACACUCAACUGCUCAGAGCUGUUUUUCCUAUGAAGCAUUACUUUCAGUACUGCUCCUGUUUACCAAACGACAUAAUUCAUUGCAAAACAACGGGAUGAGAGAAGUAAUAUUGAUUUUUAGAAGUCAGAUCACUAGAAACAACAAAAAAAGAGAAACCAGUUGCCACCCAGACCUGUAUCGAGUGAGAAACAACAAAGAAUCGACAUAGCUGAGCAGCAUGAUGAAGGCAAGAAAAAGGAAACAAACCCACAAAUCAGUUAUGGCAGAUGGCGACAACAGCUGGACGAAUACAUUACGAUACGAAUGCUGGAUUAAAUUGCACAAGAAAGGCUGAUUGCACUUAAUUGAAGUGCAAAAAGAAAACCCUAAUUCCUCUGUUCGGCAACAAGGGAGGAGCAGAUGCAUUAACACUAGGGCUUGGGACCGACCUCAGCUGGUGUUUUAGUGUUGAGAGAAAGAGCAUGAACUCCGCCCUCCUGGAGCUCAUCGCGUAGCAAGUCAUACACGAGGCGAUGCCGUUUUAGCAGAUUCCGCCCUUGAAACUGCUCAGACACAACCUUCACAUUGAAAUGCGUUUCGGAGGAGCCUUUCGGGGCACCAGCGUGGCCAGCAUGCUGGUAAGAGACAUCCUCCACCUCCAGGAGCGCUGGAGCCAACGCUUCCGCAAGCUUCUUCUCGAUGAUCUGCUUCUUCGUCGGCAUGGACUUCCCCGAGGCACCGGUAGUGCCCUCAGCAGUCGUCGACAUGGAGAAGGAAGUGGAAUACAGCUGCAAAGUUUUCUCGAUGCGCUUCAACAGAGUGCGAACUCCAUGCCUACAGGACGGCGUCGUUAAGCUCUGCUUGAACCCUAACAUGUGAAAUUCUAAAUUCAGGCGCGAGUUUCAAAACCCAAUUGCGUAGCAUUCCCGCAACGCCUUUCCAGUGGGCUGUACAAAAUCGCCCUUCUACUCCGAAGCAACCCAACUGUGCACAGUUCUCAAACUCACAUGGCAUUCCGACAUUGCGACAAAGCACCGUGUCCUACAAUCUCUCGACAUCGCUGCAAAACUCUUCACGUCUCGUCCUUCGUCGUCGUCCGUGGAUGACGACGACUACGAUGAUGAGCCGUUUCUCAAUUCCAUUCCCCCCAUGACUAGAUUGUGUUUUAGGGUUUCUUUGAUUGACACGCUCCUUUCUUUCCAUUGUGUUUCAACUUUCGAUCCUAACAAAAAUUCUUUUUUGUACAUUGUUAAGUAGACAUAUUUCAUGCAAGUGUACAAUCUCAAAUAUUAUAUUGGCAUGGAGAAUUUAAAGUAUACAAAACAACACAAUCAGUAGUAGAUGAGAUAUUAUAUUUAAUCACAUGGAAUUUUUUUAAAGAUAAUUUGUAUAGUUGUUUUUUUUUAAAUAAAAAAUAAAAAAUAUAUUUUUAUAUAUCUUUACUUAUAUUAUAGACUAGAGUUAGAACUUCUUUUUUAUUCUUUAAACAUGUUUGUAAAUAAUUGAUACCUUGAAAACUUGGCCAACAAGUUAGUCACAUGUCACACAUGUUGACUACUUGUAUUACAAAUUAGCAACAUAGAGCACAUGUUGGAAAUUCGUUCUACAAGUACUUUUCAAAAACUUAUUUAUCAAAGCCAAAACCAAUGCAAAUUGAUAUGAUACAUUUUAAGUUCCUCAUACAGAAGGAAAAGAGUUGACGAUGUCAAGAGGGCUUAUACUUAUAUUGUAGAGAAGCUAAAAAUCCUAUUCAACAUAGUCCAAAGAAACAAUGCAAUUAUAAAAUGAGAAGCACAAUUGUCAAAAAAGACAAUAUAUUGGAAAAUCACUUGCUUCAGCUACGAUAGAGAACAUGCAAUUCGAAUCAUGUAUAACAUCUAGCUAAGGUCAUAUUUUUUCAUCUAAUCUCUUAUCUUAUUUUAUAAUAGAAGUCUGUUUAGGACCAAAAAUCACAAAAUCUAAACCUUAUUAGAUUCAAGAGUCUUAGCUUGUUUUAUAGAUGAAGACUUUGUCAAAAAACAAGAUAUAUCUUUAAUUAAGAAAAUCAAAUCCAUCCAUGUAGAAGUAAUAGAUGGAUGUUCAUUAUCUUCUGGGAUGUUACACAUGAAAUUAUUUCUAUAGAAGUAGCAAUUAGUGGUCACAGUAGUUUAGUAAUAUUUAAUGUGAUUAAAUCUCUUUUUGAUCCAAUUAUUUUAGGAUUAUCAUAGUUAGAAAGAUAUAAUCCUCAAAUAGACUAGAUUUCUUGCAAUCUCAAUUUUUUCCAUAAUUUAGCCUAAGGUCUUACUAGAUAAGUAAAAAUCCAUAAGUCUAAUAUAUCCAAAUCCUUAUUAAUAUGUAUAAAAGCUUUCAUGCAUGCCGCAAAUGAAGGGCCAACUUUUGUUACAUGUACUAUGUCCAUUGUUGAUAGUGAGAAGAUAUUAAGUGAUAUUCCUAGUUAGUAUCAAGAUUUUUAGGACGUUUUUGAAAAGAAGAAUGCAUAUAUUCUUUCGGAGCAUUGUCUUUAUGAUUAUACUAUUGAUCUUCAAGAAAGAACUCAACUACCAUUUACACCAAUCUAUAGCCUAUCACAAAAUAAGUUGGUUGCACUCAAAGAGUACAUUGAUGAAAACUUGGCUAAGAACUUUAUAUGCUAUUUUAAAUCUCCAAUCGAAACUCCUAUCUUAUUUGUGAAAAAAUAAAAAGGACAAAUCUCUGUAGAUAUAUAUGGAUUAUCAAGGACUUAACAAGGUCACCAUGAAGAAUAGGUAUCCUCUACCUUUGAUUUCAGGACUUUGUGAUUAACUAAAUCAAGCAAAGAUCUAUACAAAAAUAGAUCUACAAAGAACAUAUAAUUAGUCUGCAUUAAAGAAGGAGAUGAAUAAAAAACUACUUUCCGAAGUAAGUAUGGAUAUUUUGAAUAUAAUGUCAUGCUUUUUGGACUCACAAAUAUACCAGCUACUUUCCAACAUCUAAUGAAUGAUGUAUUUUGUGAGUUUCUUGAUGAUUUUGUCAUUUAUUAUUUAGAUGACAUUUUAAUCUAUUCUAAGAACACAGAAGAGCAUGAAAUUCAUAUUUGUUUUGUAUUACAAAAACUAAGAGAUGCAAGUUUAUAUCCAAAGAUAAAAAAGUAUAUAUUCCACAUUACUCAAGUUGACUUUUUGGGAUACAUCAUUUCCAAUGAAGGCCUUAUAACAGCUCCAAAGAAGAUCCAAAUUAUCAUAGAUUAGAAGAUCUUAAGAAUAGUAAAAGAUGUACAAUGCUUUUUAGCCUUUGCCAAUUACUACCAAAUCUUUAUCAAGAAAUUUUGUCAAGUUGUAGCUCUACUUACAUAUUUGACUUGUAAAGACAAACUUGAGUGGAAUAAAGAAGUAGAAGCAUUGUUUGUUGCUUUGAAGAAAGAAUUUAUUUUUGUACCAACUUUGUAUUGCGUCAAAUUUUUUAAUGCAUUCUUUAUGGAAACAGAUACAUUAGACUUUGCCUCGAAUGAAGUAUUGUCACAAAUUAGAAUAGAUGACAAAGUCCAUCCAGUAGCUUUCUAUUUUAAAAAAUUUCAACUGCCAAGAUUAAUUACGAGAUCUACAAAAAAGAACUUCUUGCAAAUGUGGAUUCAUUUUAAGAAUGACGUUAUUAUCUAGAGGAUACUUUAAAACUUGUUAUAAUAUAUAUAUAUAUAUAUAUAUAUAUAUAUAUAUAUAUAUAUAUAUCACAAGAAUCUCGAGUAUUUCAUACAGGCACAUAUUUUGAAUCGUUGCCUACUUUGUUAGAGCUUGUCAUUAUCAAGAUUUGAUUUCAAGAUUACAUAUCGACCUAGAAAAAAAUAAGAUUUAUCAGAUGUUCUUUCUAAACGCUCUUAUCUUGGAUCGAAAGAAAGAGACAUAUCUUUUGAUCAAGAAAGAACAAUCAUCUUGAAGCGAGAGCAUUUUUAUCUUUGAGCAAUGAAAUUGUCAUUGAUUGUCGAUUUGAGCUUUGUCAAACAAAUUCAAUCAAGUAUGCCCUUUGAUCUUCUUAUUCAUGAUAUCAAAAAUCUUUCUUCCAAGUUUCAUGAUGUUUCAAAGUUCGAGUUCAAGAACAACCUUCUUUAUUUUGAAAGACACAUAUAUAUUCCAGAAGGAAAAGCAUAUCAUGACUUUCCAACAGUAGGAUAUUUUGGAUACAAUAAGUCUUUAGAGCUUAUUUCUAAAGAUUUUUAGAGAUUACAAAUGUGAAAGGUGGUAAAAAAACUUUGUCCAUUCAUGUGACAUUUGUUCAAAAUCAAAAAUUCUUCAUCAUCAAUCCUAUGGACUUCAACCAUUGCCUAUAUCUGAAUAACCAUGGACUUUCAUUUCUAUGGAUUUUAUUAUAGAGCUUUCAAGUUCAAGUUCAUAUGAUUCUAUAUUUGGAAUUGUAGAUUACUUCAUCAAAAUGGUAUAUUUUGUAUCAUGUACAAAAUCUAUUUCAAGUAAAAAAAUAGCUAAGUUUUUCAUUGAUAAUAUCUAUUACUAUCAUGGAUUACCAAAAGAUAUUAUAUCUGAUAGGGAGACUCAAUUUGUAUCAAGAUUUUGAAGAAUCCAAUUUAAGUUUUUAAAAGUAGAUAUAAAACUCUUUUUAGCUUUUCAUCUUCAAACUAAUGGGCAAACGGUAUGGGUGAAUCAAGUUUGGAGUAAUAUUUGAGAUAUACCAUCAACUAUCAUCAACAUGAUUAGAAAACUCUUUUACCAUUAGAAGAGUUUGCAUACAAUAAUUUAGUACAUUUUGCUACUCAAUAAACACCUUUUUUUUGCCAAUUAUGGUUAUCAUCUACAACUUGAUACUUUUGACUUUUAAAAAGUUAAUAAUUUUACAAUGGAAAUUUAACAAAUUGUUUGUUAGAGCUACAUGCAACAAUGAAGACACAAUUUAAAGAAGUUCAAGAACGACAAAAGACCAAGGCGGCUACUUAUCGCAAGGAGCAACCAUAAUUCAAUGUAGAUGAAAAAAUAUGAUUACUUUGUUGCAGUAUCAAGAUUAUUCAUCCUUCUGAUAAGUUGGACUAUUGUAAACUAAGACCAUUUCUUAUUUGUAAACAAAUCAAUCCUGUUGCUUAUUAAUUAUAUCUAUCGGAGUCUAUGAAGAACCACCCUAUAUUUUAUUUAUCCUUUCUUGAGCCAUAUAAGAUAGUAAAUAUCUUGAAAAGAAGACAAAUGCCACCUCCUCCUAUUAAAGUGGAUAAUAAUCAUAAAUUCGAGGUAGAAGAAGUCUUAGAUUCAACGUGAUGCCAAAAUAAAUUGAAAUAUCUUUGUCAUUGGCAUGGAUAUGAUAUUAGUGAAUGCACAUAGGAGCCAACAAAGAAUCUUGCAAAUACAUCAAAGAAAGUUGAAGCUUUUCAUCGACAACAUCCAUCAAAAUGAAGUUGAAGAAUUAUAAAGAUCCAUGAAAGAUGAUGACUGCUCCUCGUCAAACUUAUCCAUAGAAACAAAGGUAAUGUCAUGGACACAUAUAUUUAUCUCAAUAGUUACUUAUAUGAUUAGGUAGAAGUAUGUAAAUAUAGAUUAAUUUCAUAAAAUCUUCUAGCAUAGCUUAUUAGAAGCUGUAUAGAUGCAAUUUUGACUUUAGAUGUGUUUGUAGGUUAGAAACUUAGCCAACAAGUUAACCUUGUGUUGGUAGCUUAUAGAACAAGUUAACUUCAUAUAGUAGCUUGUGAAACAAACUAAUUAUGUAGCACAUACAUAGAUAACUUGCCUUGUAAGUUAAGACAUGUGGCUAACAAAGUCAACACAUAUUGGAGAUCUAAUAGAAUAUUGCCAUGUAGCUCUUAGUUAGAGAAUAUAUAUAUAGAGGCAAGAAUGAAGCCUUCUUCACUCUUGUCAACAUCUUUUUAAUCCUUAGACUUGUUUCAAGACUUUCUAGUCUUUUUGUUUUUGGUAAUAGCCAUUCUAUUUCAAUGUUAUAUCAUCUUUGAGUGACUUUCUACUUCCUUUCAAUAAUACAAGAGUGUAUUGAGGAUUUUCUUUCUUUGAGAUUCUUGUCCAUAAUAAUUUGUACCAAUGAAUAAAAUAUUCUAAUCUAUUUUGGUGUUGCCUUGAAUCUAAGACUUCUUUUAUUUUGAAUAUUUAAUCAUUAGCUAUUUUUAUAGAAGGAUGUGGCAUUUGUCUUCUUCUCAAGAUAUUCACUAUCUUAUAUGGAUUAAGAAGAGACAUGUGAAAUAUAAGAUAGAUCUUUAUAGACUUCAAUAGAUGUAAUCAAUAAGUAAUAGGAUUAACUUAUUCAUUAAUAAGAAAAUAUCCAAGCUUAUGAUAAUCCAACUUAUUACAAGGAAAAAUAAUCUUGAUAUUACAACAAAAUAGCCAUACCUUGUCAUCUAUGAUGAAUUGUGGUUGUUCCUUGCAUUAGGCAUCUACAUUGAUUUUUUGUCAUUUUUGAGCUUCUUUUAAUUGUGCCUUCAUUGUUGCAUGUAGCUAUGACAAAUGAUUUGCUAAAUCUUCUACUAUAGGAUUAUCAACUUUUGAAAAGUCAAAAGUAUGAAGUUAUGGAUAAUAACCAUAAUUGGUAAAAAAAGAUAUUAAUUAAAUAGAAAAAUAUAUCAAGUUAUUAUAUGCAAACUUUACCAAUGGCAAAAGAGUUGUUCAAUCAUCUUGAUGAUAGUUGAUGGUUCAUCUCAAAUACUACUCCAAAAUUUGAUUCAUCUAUUUUAUUUGUCCAUCAAUUUAAGGAUGAAUAGCCAAAUAAAGCUUUAUAUCCACCUUUAAAAUCUUGAAAAGGAUUUUUUAGAAUCUUAAUAUAAAUUGAGUCUCCCUAUUUGAUAUAAUAUUUUUGAACAAUCCAUGAUAGCAAUAGAUGUUAUUAAAAAAAAACUUAGCCAUUUUUUUUUUCAUAUGAUCAAUUUUGUACAUGGUACAAAAUAUGCUAUUUUGAUAAAAUAAUCGAUAAUCACAAAUAUAAAAUCAUACAAGCUUGAGACAUGAAGGUUUGUGAUAAUAUCCAUAGAAACAAAAGACCAUAGUUGUUCCAAAAUAAUUAAUGGCUAGUGAAGUCCAUAAGAUUGAUGAUAAGAAGUUUUGAUUUUGAAUAAAUAUUACAUGAUUGUACAAAGUCUUUAAAUAUCUUUUACAUUAGAGGCCACUAAAAAUCUCUAGAUAUUAGCUCUAAAAUCUUCUUGUAUCAAAAAUGUCUAAUUACUAGAAAGACAUGACGAGCUUAAAGAACAUACUUUGUCUUUUAGAAUAUAUUAUUAUCCCUUAAAAAAAUAGAUUAUUCUUGAAUUCAACUAUAGAAGUAUCAAGAGACUUAGAAGAAUUAUUCUUGAUAUUAUAAAUAAGAUGAUUAAAAGACAUACUUGAUUGAAUUUGCUUCAUAAAGAUUGAAUCAAUAAUCAAUGUUGAUUUUACUGCUCAAAGAUGAAAAUUCUUUGGCUUCAAGAAAAUCAUUCUUUGUUGAUCAAAAGUUGAGUCUUCUUCUUUUGAUACAAGAUAAGAAUAUCUAAAAAGGAUGUUUGAUAAAUUUCAUUAUUUUUCAAAUCAAUAAGUAAUCUUAAAAUCAAAACUUGAUAAAGACAUGCUCCAACAGACUUAGUAAUGAUUCUAAACUUGUAUUGAUAAAAAGUACUCAAGGUUCUUGGGAUUCAAAUAUAGAGUGACUAGAUUAGAAGCACCUUCUAGAUAAUAAAGCCAUUCUUAAAAUGAAUCCACAAUUAUAAAAAGCUCUUUAUCAUAAUUUUUAUAGUUAAUCUCAAUUAUUGAAAAUUUAUUAGAAUAAAAAACUACCUAGUUGAGCUUGUUAUUUGCUACUAUUUGUGACAAAACAACAUCUGUAGCAAAAUUUGAUGCAUUUUUUUCUAUAAAAAAUGCCUUCAAAAAGUCAACAUGAUAUAAAAUUAGUACAAAAAUAAAUAUUGUCUUUAAGGCUUCAAAAGAUGCUUCAAUUUUUUAUUCUAUUUAAGUUUAUCUUUAAAUAUCAAGAGUAUAAGAUGAGCCACAACUUCAAAAAAAUUCUUAAUAAAGAUCUAAUAAUAAUUGGUAAAUCUCAAAAUAAAUUAUAUAUUUUUAAUUAUUUUUAAGAUCUUUCAAUCUAUAAUAGUUUGAAUCUUCUUAGAAUAUAUCAUAAGACCAUCGUUUGAAAUGAUAUAUCUUAAGAAGUCAACUUGAGUAGUGUGAAAUAUACACUUUUCUAUCUUGACAUAUAAUCUUACAUCUUUUAAUUUUUGUAAUAUGCGACAAACAUAAACUUCAUAUUUUUUUAUAUUUUUAAAAUAGAUGAAGAUGUCUUUUAAAUAAAAUACAACAAAAUCAUCAAAAAAAAUUGUAAAAAAAAUCAUUUAUUAAAUAUUUAAAAGUAGCUAGCACAUUCAUGAAUCCAAAAAGCAUGAUAUUAUAUUUGAAAUGUUGAAAUCUAGUUCAAAAUAUAAUUUUUUAUUUAUCUCUUUCUUUAAUGCAUACUAAGUUAUAUGCUUCUUACAUAUCUAUUUUUAUAUAAAUCUUUGCUUGAUUUAAUUAAUCAAGAAGUCUUAAAAUUAAGGAUAGAAAGUACAUAUUCUUGAUGGUGAUCUUGUUGAGUCCUUAAUAGUCCAUACACAUCUACAGAGAUCCAUCAUUCUUCUUCACAAAUAAGAUAGGAGUCUUGAUUGGAGAUUUAAAAUGGCAUAUGGAGUUUUUAGCCAAAUUUUCAUCAAUAUAUUCCUUGAAUACAGCCAACUUGUAUUAUAAUAGAUUAUAGAUUGAUUCAAAUGGUGGUUGAGCUCAUUUUUGAAGAUCAAUGGAACAAUAAUAAGAACAAUGCUUUGAAAGAAUAUUUGUAUUUUUUUUUUCAAAGAUGUCUUGAUAAUCUUAGUAUUGGCUUAGAAUACUACUUGAAAUCUUUUUUCCAUCAACAAUAGAUGUGGCAUAUAUAACAAAAUUUGACCCUUUUUUUUGUAACAUGCAUGAAAGUUCUUAUACCUAUCAAGAAUGGUUUAGAUAUAUAGGUCUUAUAGGUUUCUACUUGCCUAAUAGAAUCUUGGGCUAAACCAUGGAAAAAAUUAAGAUUGCAAGAUAUCUAGUCUAUUGGAGAGUUAUAUCUUUCUAACUACAAUAAUUCUAAAAUAAUUAGGUUAUAUAAAGACUUAAAUAUAUUAAAUAUUAUUAAACUAUUAUAACUAUUAAUUAGUACUUCUACAUGAAUAGUUAUAUGUAUAAUAUUCUCAAAAGAUGAUGAAUAAUUAUCUAUUAUUUCUACAUGCAUAAGUUUGAUUUCUUGGCUAAAGAUAUAUCCUAUUUUUUAACAAAGUCUUUGUCUAUAAAAUUGGCUAAGACUCUUGAAUCCAACAAGACUAAGACUUUGUGAUUUUUUUAUCUUAAAUAAAAAUCUAUUGUAAAAUAAGGUGAAGGAUUUAACGAGAGAAUAAGACCUUUACUAGGAGUUGCACAAGAUUCUAAUUGCACGGUUCAUAUUGUAAUUGGAAAAACUUAUUUUUUGAUAUAUUAUCUUCUUUGGCAACCACGCUUCUUAUUUUAUAAUUGCAUUGUUUCUAUAAACAAUAUUGAGCAAUGCGCUUAGAUUCUCUACAAUAUAGGUACAAAUCUUUUUGACAACAAUAAAAAAAAAAAUUCUCAAAAAGAGGUUUAAAAUGUACCAUAUUAAUUUUUAAUGGUUUUGGCCUUAAUGAAUAUUUUUUUGAAAACUUAAGAGCUACUACCAUCACUUGACUUAUUCCUCUCCGACCAAAUCUUUGUUCUUUAAGUCUUUCAAAUAAUUAAUUGUUCCACAUAAUGGCUUGAGUAAUAAAUUAUAUCAAAGAUUGUACUUUUGGCAUUACUUAUAAUAAAUCUUAGAUGUUAUCCUUCAAUCCAUAUCAAAAUUGAUUAAUAAGAGCUUUAUCAUUCUAAUCCUUGUUAUAAGCAAGGUUUUGGAAUUGAGCAUCAUAUAUGGUAGCUUAUCAUAAUCUUUGUUAUAAAGAUAAGAGCUUGGUCUCUACUAAUCUUUCUCAAUCACUUUCUCCAAAUAUGGCCAUAAAUACUUUUAGAAAUGAAUUCAAAUCAUAAAGGAGUCAUGAAUCCUUUUCGAUCAAAAGUACAAACCAAAAGAGAACACUUCUUAAUAGAAGUGUAUCCAUGAAUUCAACUUGAGUAAAACCAUUAAAAUUUUGGAAGAGAUGCAAUCUUAGAUAGAGCUUGUCUUGUUGUAGAAAUUCUCAAAAUUUUGAUCUUGUUCUAUUAAAUUUAUUAGGCAUAUUAAUCUUUAUCCCAAUUGUACUCGUAAAAAGAAAACUUCUUAGAUUUGGUUGUAAGAUCAAUCUACUUACUUCUUCCUUCAAUUACAUAAUUUCUUAAUAUAGACUUUGAACUACUUUCGUAGGCAUAUAAUUAGUAUUUUCUUAGUUUAUAUUGGUGAUGCAUAAAAUUUCUAUCUAAGAAUAUUAAUAAGUUCAUGAAGAUUUGCAAUAGUUGCAAAUCUAUUCUUACUUUUGUCAAGUGUAGCAUUGAUAAUUUUUCCUUCCAUUUCAAAUAAUUUAACAAAUUCACAAGUUAAAUUAGAGGAAGGUAAUAUGCAACCUUUAAUAUCAAAUGAAUAUUUCUACAAAGAAGGAUAAUCCACUCUUUUUAAAGAAAAAAAUAGUGUUAAAAAACUAAAUAAUUUGUUUACAGGUGGGUAAUUUGCUACCUUCAAAAUGCAACAAUAGAAGUGGGAUAAUUCACUCACUUCUAAAACAAGACAAGAACAAUGAAUUAACACUCUUGUCAAAUUAUCAAAGAUAUGAAUCUUGAAAAAAAAAAAAAAAAAAAAAAAAAAAACUUCAAUACACUCUUAAGUCAUUCAAAAAGACUAAAAAAUCACUCAAAGAUGAUAUAAUAUUAAACUGUAAUGACUAUUGCCAAACACAAAAAGACUGAAAAGUCUGAAAACAAGACUAAAGACUAAAAAUGCAUUGACAAGAAUAAAAAAGGCUUCACUCUUGCCUCCAUAUAUACUCUUAAUUUGGAGCUACAAUGUAAUAUGCUAUAGGACCUCUAAAAUGUGUUGACUUUGCAAGACAUAUAUCUUAACUUACAAUACAAGUUUUUUAUAUGUAUACUACAUAAUUAGCUUAUUUUGUAAGCUACCAAGACGUGGUUAAUUUUUUAAUUAAGUUUCUAACCUAUCAAUCAACUCCAAACAUAUAUAAAGUCAAAACAAUGUUUAUGAAGCUUCUAGGAAGCUUUUUUAGAAAAUAUUAUGAAAUAAAUCUACUUUUAUCUAUUAAUAUUUAAUCAUAUAGAUAAAUAUUAGAAUAAAUAUGUAUAUCUAUGAAAAAUUAUAUCAAUGUAUUGAUCUAUAGUUUGGUGUUUCUGAUACCAAUUGUCUCCUAGUGAAUUUUGUAGUAUUUCUUUUAAACUAGUUAUAGGAUUGUGAGCCCAAGUAUUUUAUUUGCAAUAUCAUAGAUAUACAUAUUUAACCUAUGUAGAUGUUGAUGAUUCUAUAGCAUACAAGUUUCUUUGUAGAAAUCUUAAAUUUAUAGAAAUUCACUAUAACACACAAAUCUUUGUAUUAAUUAACUAUAUUUUUUAUUCUUCGAUUUUGACUUAUUUUUUAUCUUAAAAGUAUGAUCAUAUUCUAAAGAAAUUUUUAUAUUCAACUUAGAUAUUAUGAUAGGUAUGAGUAGUGUUGUUAUAUUUAAUGUUGAUAAUAUUGUAUCUUUGGUUCAAAUCUACUAAUCCUUAGCAUCCUCAAGAUUGUAACUUAUACAAAUAUAUAUUGAAAAAUAUUUCAAUUGUAAAUGUAUGUAUUGAAAAACACACAAAAAAAUUAUGUAAAUAUAGAAAUUUUAUAUAUGUAUAUAAAUAUAAAUUUAUUCAUAUCAUAAUUACUUAUUUUUUUAAUAAAUAAUGAUAAACUUUACUAAUAUAAAUUUUGUGUAUAAAUAGUCAUCAUUAUUGGAUAAAAAUUUAUCAGAAGCUGAAGAAGAAAAAAUAAAGAAAAGGAAAAAACAAACAAACAAACAAAAGCUAUAGAUUGUUCAAUCAAUAUACAAUUGUUAUUGUGAUGUAAAUAGUGAUGAAUAUAUUAUACAAAAAAAAAAUAGAGAAAAAAUUAUUGUAUUUAUGAUCAUAAAAUAAAUUGAAUGAAAAUAUUAGAAUUAACUUUUGAAUCAUCAUUUUAAAUUGGCAUUUUUUUCAAAACCAAGUAAAUAUUUUAUAGAAUAAAUAGAUAUUUUUUUAUUACAUUUGCAAUCACCUAUUUUAUAUUAUUCUAUUAUCAAUUGAUUGAAAAAGAAAUAAUACUCAUUGAAUCUAUAUAUAUAUAUAUAUAUAUAUAUAUACAAACACAAUCUCAUACUAUAAGUAAAAUAUUAAAACAUGUUAAAAUUUAUUUAAUAAUUAUGUCAAUCAAAAGCUCUCAUCAAAAGUGGAAUUAAAUAUUAGAAGAGAUUGAAUAAAAUAUUGUUGAUAGUUCAAGAAUCAUAAUAAUAAAAAUGAGUUUUUUGCAAGUAUGACUUUCAAUGAGCCUUAUAACAAAAAGAAAUAUUGUAUCAAUUUUCUAACAAGAAUUCAUUGCAAAGUAAUGACUUCAAAUACACAAAUACUUUUGUCUCUCUCUCUCUCUUUUUCAAUCACUCAUUAAUCCAUUGAUCUCCACCUAUCUACAUAAGAAGCUACAAACACACAUUAUAUAUAAAGAAGAAACUUAAUACAAGAUACGUAUUGCAAUAUUGUCAUGAUUGAUUACUAGUUGUAGCACCAAGAGAGAAUGCAAGACAAAUGUGACAUUACAAGCAGUGACACAUACAUGUCCAUACUCAAGGCUAUUGUACAAAGAAAUGAGUCAUUAACUGCGACAAUGGAUAGGAUGCUGUGGGAGAGAGAAUUGUAUGUUAUGCAUUAUUGGGCAGUUGUAACAUUUUUUUUUUUUUUUUUUUUUUUUUUGACAAUUUGCCAAGAAUGUAUAUCAUGUGAGAUUUUAUUUUAUUUUAUUUUAUUCCCUAUUCACACACUAAAUCACAAAAGCCACUAUUUAGGCCCAAAUGAAGAUAAAAAUAUUAAUGGAACUAUCAGAUUUCUAAUAUCUUAUCAAGGUGGAGGAUAUAUUUGCUAUUAUCAAUAAUUUUAAGAAUAUGUAUGCUAUUAUCAUCAAUUCUAAAAAUGUAUAUGUUAUCAUCAAAAAAAUUAGAAAUAUAUGCUAUUAUCAAGAGUAUAGGGAUAUUCUUGAUAUUUUGACAUAUUUAAGAGGUACAUAUAAUAUUUUUCCUAAAAUAUAUAAUAACUAUUAAUUAAUUUGUCUUAUUUUUUUUGUAAUAGUAUUAGAAUUUAAGAUAGAUUUUUAUUUUUUAAAACUUAAAUCAAUAUAAUUGAUCCAACUUUUAAAUUAAAAAAAUUAAGUUAGCUAACAUCUUUUAAAAAUUAAAAAAUAAUACUUCUCAUAUUAUGAUUAAAAUCCAAGAAUUGUAAAAGUAUCUAAAAGAUGAUAUUACUUAAAGAAUUUUAGUGAUUAAAGAAUAUUUUAAUAAUACUCUAAUAUUGUCUAAGAAAAUUUUGUGAAUUUUCUUAAGAAAUGUAUUAUCUUCUCUAUUUCUUUCUACAUACUUCUACUUAUUUCAAUUUAUUUUAAGUGCUAUAAGUAUUGAUUAUAAAUACAAAGUAGCAUAAAAAAAAAAAUUUAAAAAAUAAAAACUUAUAGCAAUAAAUUAUUUAUUAUGCGAUUCAUAUCCAAAUAUUGUUUAUUUCAAAUGGUUAUAUCAGCACUUGAUUAUCUAUAUAGCUAAUUAAAAAUUUAGGCCUUAAUUUUGUCAUAACUUAUAAAUAAAUAUAAUUAUAUUUAAUAUAUAAUUAUGCUAAGUAAAAAGUUGGAUAAAAAUUUAUUUUUUGAAUUACAAAUAUUUUUAAAAAUUAUUAAGGAAGAAAAUUUAUUAUAAAUAUAGUUUAAAAUUAAAGAUUUGUAAACAAAACAAUAAAUACACUUGAGUCUUUAAUCAUAGAUGCCUAUUUAAUGAUGAAAAUUGAUAUUGAAUAAGAAGAUGGAAAAAAUGACGUGAAGAAAAUCAAAAUUUUAUAAUGAUAAAAAUAAACAUAGUAGUAGUAAUAAGGUAAUGAAAGAAUAUUAACUAAAAAUAUUAUCUUGUAUCAUUCAUAUUCUAUCAGAAUUAAAAAUUACAUAUUUUUACAAUUAAAUAAUAAAUAAAUAAAUAAAUAACCCUAAAAUUUAUUAGUACUAUUGACUAUAUCUACAUAUGCAAACCUACAUAUAAAUGCACAUUACAAGUCAAGAGAUGUUUUUACUAAUUUUCAUUUUACACCAUUCUAAACAGCUUUGUUUUUGUCCAAAAAAAUGUUCCACCUCUGUCUAACCUUCUAUGUCACCAUUCAAACAUACUCAACAAGGAAAAAGACCAUUUUGGAAGAGAAUAAAACAAACCAAAGCCUAACAAAAAAAAAAAACAACAACAACAAAGUAAAAACAAAAACAAGACGAGCUCUUAACAAAUAGUCCUUAGCAACCUUCAUGUUCCAUCAGCCAAUCCAUCAAUCAAUCAACACAUUGUUUUCCAUGCACUCUGCAGCAAUAGUUCAGCCACUUUGUGUCUAAAUCAAGCAUAAAUAUGCACAACAUAUUAAAGCAUAUUCGACGCCGUUCAUGCAAAAUGAGUCGUAGGUGACGCCGAGCACCUGAUUUAUCCACCUCACCAUGAAUUCUCCAGCUUCUCAUCACCACUGCAACUCCCUAAACAACCCAAACCUGCUCGUGUUCGACGUCGAUCGACAACACUCCGGUUCAUCUCAUCACAUCACUCUCAUCUUCACAACUCUCGCAACUCUCCAGCUAUGGGGCGU